CUUAUGUCUCUCUCAAGCCCAACUCUACUCUCCCUUCGUUGACCCAUAAUUCUGGUCCAAUCCCCUUGGUGGCCCACGACAUCUCUUCCUCCCUUAACUCUACUUCUCACUCACUUUCCCCUCUUCUUUCCAACCACACAAGCACACCGUCUCCCACCACAGAAAAUGACGACUUUUCCUCUCCUUCUCGACCUUCCGAACUCGUUAUCGAACCUUCUUCUCAAAUUGAUCCAAACCUUUCACCACCGCCUUCUACAACUCUAGUAUCGCCUUCUCCGGUGCCACCGUUUGCAUCCAUCUCGUCCGCUCCUCCAGUCGAGACACCCAUCUUUUCACCAGAAACACACUCACCCAAACCAGCCACUCUGCUCCAUCGCUCCAGCCGCCAUAUCGCCUCGCCAAUCAAGCUCCAUGAUUAUGUUUGCUCCCACGUUUCCUCCAAUCAGUCUUCUUCCUUGAUUCCAGGUCCAACUAAAGGUACACGAUAUCCAUUGGCCAAUUAUGUCUCUUAUCACAGAUAUAAGUCUGCAUAUAGAUCUUUUGUUGCUCAACAUAGUGCUGUCACAGAACCCAGGUCUUAUUCGAAAGCAGCCGCUCAUCCUGAGUGGCAGGAGGCAAUGCGUUCUGAAUUGCAGGCUCUCCAAGCUAAUGGCACUUGGUCUCUCACUCCACUUCCGGUCGGCAAGACGUCGAUUGGUUGUUGAUGGGUGUAUAAAAUUAAACACCGUUCAAAUGGGUCUAUUGAGCGUUACAAAGCACGAUUGGUAGCGAAAGGCUUUACUCAAUUAGAAGUUGUCGAUUAUCAGGAUACCUUUUCCCCCACCGCCAAGAUCAUAUUUGUCUGCUGCUUGCUUGCAUUGGUUGCAGCCCGUGGCUGGUCUCUUCAUCAAAUGGAUGUUAACAACGCUUAUUCAUAGCGACUUACAUGAGGAAAUAUAUAUGUCUCCGCCGCUAGGGCUUCGGCGACAGGGGGAGGAAAACUUGGUAUGUCGCCUUCAUAAAUCACUCUACGGUCUGAAACAAACUUCUCGCCAGUGGUUCGCCAAGUUCUCAAAAGCUAUUCAAUCCGCCGAUUAUUCUUUGUUCACCAGAAAACAAGGCAAGUCCUUUACUGCCCUCUUGAUAUAUGUUGAUGAUAUUCUAAUUACUGGAAAUGAUCCUGUGAGCAUUGCUACAACAAAAAAAUUUCUGCAUAGUCAUUUUCAUCUCAAAGAUCUGGAUGAUUUAAAAUACUUUCUUGGCAUUGAGGUUUCUGCUUCUAAAAAUGGGAUUUUUAUUUCCCAAUGUAAGUAUGCAUUAGAGAUUAUUGAGGAUGCAGGAUUGUUGGGCGCUGCCCCUAUUGAUACACCUAUGGAACGAGGAUUGAAAUUUUCUGAUAAGAGCGAUUUGCUCAAGGAUCAAGGUCGUUAUAGGAGAUUGGUUGGAAUGUUAAUAUAUCUAACUGUGUCGAGGCCAGAUAUCACUUAUGCAGUCCAUGUGUUAAGUCGAUUUAUGCAUCAACCGAGAAAGGCUCAUAUGGAAGCAGCGUUCAGAGUUGUACGUUAUCUCAAGAAUGCACCUGGUCAGGGUCUGUUCUUCUCUUCGAAUAAUGAUUUCAGAUUGAGAGCCUACUGUGAUUCUGAUUGGGCAAGUUGUCCACUUACUAGAAGGUCCACUACAGGCUACUGUGUAUUCCUUGGACCUUCACUGAUUUCUUGGAGAUCAAAGCGACAGAAAACAGUGUCACUCUCUUCAACCGAAGCAGAGUAUCGUGCAAUGACAGGAGCUUGUUGUGAGUUGACAUGGCUUCGGUACCUUUUGAAAGAUUUGGGUGUUUUACAUCAGGAACCUGUCUUGCUGUAUUGUGACAACAAGGCAGCGUUGCACAUUGCAGCCAACCCUGUUUUCCAUGAGCGUACUAGACACAUUGAGAUGGAUUGUCACUAUAUUAGGGACAAGAUCUAAGAUGGUUCCAUUAUUACAAGACAUGUGAGCUCAGCGCACCAACUUGCAGACAUUCUGACUAAACCAUUGGGAAAGGAGUUUUUUGCUCCUAUGAUUCGCAAGUUGGGAAUGCAGGAUAUCCACUCUCCAACUUGAGGGGAAGUGUUGGAAAGUCAAUCUUCCUAAAUCUUCCAUAUUAAGAAUAGAUGAUUUGUAUAUGUUAGUUUUCCUAUUGUAAUUCCUGACUUAUAGAUGGAUAGUCUAGAAUAUGGUAAGCUGAUUCCUGACUUGUAGAAAAAGAUCUCAAACCUCCUUGUAUAAAUACACACUUCAACAUCAAUAAUAUUAAUUCAGCCAAUUCUUCUUCUUUUCAUAUUACAAAUAGAAACACUAUCAAAUGUAAUUUUAAAACAUUACAAUUUUUAUUUUUAAUGAUAGCAAUGAAAAUUGAUAACUCUUAAAAUAUUACCGUAUUUGUUUUAAUACCGAAUGGUAAUGUUUAAUAAUUUAAAACAUAUAAAAAUUGUAAUUUGCUAAGUAAGAAUUAUUUUUAUUUAAAAAAAAUUAUAUAUAAUAAAAAAUGCGAUUCAUGAUAGGUCAAUAAUUUUUUUAAGAUAGUUCAUUUUAAAUUUUAUUUCUUAUAAUAAACAAAGAAUUUUUUUUCAUUGGAAACAUUUUUUUUUAGAAAAAGUGAGUUUUGACUUACUAAUUUGAAAAAAUAUAGAAAAAGGAACCUAAACUUUUAUAAAUUAGUUUUUAUCUUCAUUCAUUUAAAAAUAUUUUAAAAUACAUUCCCUUUUGAUAAUUAUUUCUAAAAUACACUUUUAUUUAAUAAUAUUAAAUACAAUUAUCAAAACAUUAAUUUAUCAUUUUAAUUUGAUAAAAUAUCCUACAAAUAAAUAUAUUAUAAAUUUUUUAUUAUAUAGUAUAAGAUACAAAUCAUUCCAAAAAAUUUCUUGAGGAUCCUCAAAUGAUAAAUAAAAUCUUUGCAAUUCCCUAAUUAAUAAUGAUUGUAUAGCUUGAAUUAUAUAAAUUCACUCAUUUUUUCAUUUUUUUUUAAUAAAAUUCAAUAAAAAAAAUUUUAGUUGAGUUCAACAAUAAAAUAAGAAAAUUUUAAAAUUAAAACUAAAUAACUUAAAAAUUAAAAAAAAACUUUAAAAUUUAAAAAAUAAAAUAUUAACUCUCAGUGUAUUUCCAACACUUUCUAGAUAUCUUUAUUUAUUUGGAAAAGUUAAAGUUAUAUUUUAUUUUUAUAUUUUUUGCUUUAAAGUUUUUUUAAUUUUAAUUAUAUUUUAAAAUUUUAAAAUUUCUUAUUCUAUUGAUCUCAAAUUAGUUAUUAUAGUAAAAAAAAAAUUGUUAAUUGAUGUAAUUAACCUAUAAAUAAUAAGGAUCAUUUUAGAAAAUAAGUAUCUGGCUUGUAAAAAAUAUAUAUAUACUUAAAAUAUUUUUAAAUAGAUAAAGAUAAAUCUGAUUUAUAAAAUUUAAGGGUUUUUUUUAUAUUUUUUAAAAUUGGUGAGUCAUAAUGAAAAGAAUUUUUUUUUUUUUAUGGAUGCUUUUUUGAACAUUUCUAAGAAAUUAAGAGAGAGUUAAAUUUUCUCAUUAGCAAAGGAGAAUAGAAUUGAUUUCUUAUUCCUAUUCUCUAUUUCGGUAUUGAGAGUUGAAUUUUUUAGAGGAUCAUGGGCUUUUUCCAAGAUGAUUUCAAUACAAAUAUAAAAAUAAAUAAAAAUAAAAAAUUUCAUUGAUAAGAUGCCGUGGAUCUUGUAUGAUUUGAGGCAAUACUAGUACUCAUGUGAGUGGUCAUAGAAGACUUUCCAACACAACUCCCAUUUCAGGCUUAAAAAAGGUAAUGCAAGGGAUGAAUAUGAUUUCCAAAUUUCAUCCAAAACAGUAGGAGAAUGGGAGGCAUGUGCCCCCUCUAAAGUACCCUCAAACCCUUCAACAUUUAAUCCAAUUCAUGUUUAAGGAUCAUGCAAAGGUACCAUUUCAAGACCCUCUUCCCAAACCGAAAGAUUAAUUUUUACAAGGCCCUUUUGCUGGUGAUUCCCCUAUGCCCCUACUAUAAGAUAACUUAAUGCAGAAUUCUCAGUUUCCCUUUUUUUUUUUCAGAAUUUUUGGAGGCAUAUUUAAGAUGGUUUGGGGGAACAAAACAAAAGGGGUUCCUUAAAUUCAACUGGAAUCAGAAAAUUCCAUGGAUAUUUGGGGAUCACUGCAUUGAAUUCAGUUGUGCAAACAUGUGAAAGUCCUGUUUGGCUGUCGGUGGGCCGACUUAAGUCGAUUCAUAUUUAUGGCAAUGGAGGAAAUAAGAUGCGACGAUAGCGACUGAUAGCAGGGUGGCAUGUGAUCCUGGCUCUCUCAUUCUCUAUUCAACAUUCAAUGGCCUGUCCUCCCAUUCAAGCUCUGGCAUUUAUGGCUGACUAACCAAUUAACCGGCCAUAUCCUCUGAUGCAGUUGACAAGAAGUCCAACAUCCUAGACUCGCAAUGAUUAGAUUAGCAUCCUAAAAUUAAACCUUAGGAUUAGGUCAGUAAUGAUCGCUGUAUCCGCUAGAGAGUUCGAUGGGCUAGAUUGUUUCAUUAAUUAACACCACUUUCACCAGAAAGAUUGAAGAGUUUGAAGAAGAACUGCUUACAACCCAACAUAUUUUGUUCACUUGUUAUAACUUUUGAGUUUUUCAUCUUAAUGUCUGCGAAAUCAGAGACAUUCUUACCCAGAAAGAAAUCAAUGUAAAACUACUCAAUGCAAUUUUUUUUUUCUUGUGUAGAAGUGCCAAAUAAUUGAAUUGAGGCUGUUGAUGAACAGAGCGUAAAUUAAGUUUUUCUUCAAGAGGAUUAAGCCUCAAAAGGGGGACCAAAUCCAAGACCGAAGCUUCCUCUGAAGAUGGGCCAACAUGUCUGGGACAACCCAUUUAAUAUCACUGAAAACAGAGACAUGUUGAAGUUAAAGAUGGUCAAUGGAGUUAAUGAGAUAAAUUGAAUUUAUUGCUAGGGAGGUUUUCUGUAUUUUCACACUAAAGGUAGAAGUACAAGGAAACAUGUAACGGACAAAACAGAAAGGCUGUAAGAGACUUGAUCUUAUGGGGGGUCUUAGAAGCCAGUCAGGGCAUGGACGGUAGGAUGGGUACUUCAACAGUUCAACAGAACUUUUUUUGUUCUUUUUGUAAGUAAUUGGGAAAGACCCAGCAGACCUUAAUUAAUCCCUGUUCGACUGGGGGAGUUCUCUUGCUAUAACGACCGGAGAUUGUUGCCAGAAGAUGGUUUAGACCCAUCAAAAUCAAGCCUUCAUGUGUUCUUUUGCUGAGAGUAGAUAAGGAAGACAUCCAUCAUCCAUGGAAGCAGUCUCAUAGUAUGAUCUACAAGGACUAAUGUUGCAAGAGGAAAUAAUAUAUAUUUUAGGUUUUCUCUUUUCCUAAUAUUUUCGCAGCUACCAAACAGAGCUCUAAUUUAAAACCAGGUUCACUUUCUUGAACACUAUUGACUUAGACCAAAAACUGCCCCUGAAAAAGAAAACAGGGCUCCAUUUUUUUUCAAAUGGACAUUCUUGGAAGGGAUGAGAUAUGGUUUGUGGGAAGAAAGACUUUGCCUUAAGGCUCCACCAAUUGUAAUGAGACUGGCCCACUAAAUGUGCACCCCAUGUUUCAACCCUCUUGAUUCAAUUCAAAUUAAUGGCAAUUGCCCUCGUUUCACCACAUUUGUUCCUUGAAAUGAGGGAUGGCAAUUUGUGUUGAUAGCGGCGUUGGUAUCAUGUCAAAGCAUAAAUAUUCUAUUACAUAAAUCAACUCUAAAUAUUCUAUUAAAUAUAUCAACUCCAACCCACCCACCACAAAUAAUAUUACUUAAUCAUUAAAUAUAUACCAUGAUGUGCAAGUUGUUUUUAUAAUCAAAUUUUUCUAUUUAAUAAUUAGAUUAAGGUACAUAUAAUUAAUAUCUCAACAAAAUACAUAUAUAUAUAUAUAAUCAAAUUGAUGUUAUACAAAUUAAUCCUAAAACCAUUCAUAUGCAAAUGAUUAUGUUAAAUUCAAACUCGCAAAAACAAGCUCAUCGAAUUGUAUCAAAUUCUAUCACCCCUACUUGAAAUGAAUUGUUUUCAAAUAAAAUCAAUGACAAUUCCCCUCAUUUGAUUAGGAUUUUAACUAAAAAUGAUUUGUAUCAUCAUUCCACUGAAUAAGAGACUAUCACUAAAUUUACAGAUUUCAGUCACAUCAAGCUGACGAGAGCCCAAAUAUAAAAAAUACACAACCAAAAUCUAACAUUAAAUUUUCUCUGUUGAUUUCCCUUUUCCUUUUCCUAAAUUUUUUUCUUCUUCCUACACGAUUCUUCAAGUCAUUCACCAUUGUGCAAUAAGGACACUGUCUUGUCUUAGAACCAGACGCUUUUGCCAAGUGCAAGUGCAACCUGGAUAAACAGCUAGCCCCUGGGUCAUAAUUUCAGCAAGGAUUCAUUCGAACUACCACCACAAGGGACCUAUUACUGGUGGUGGUGAUGGCGGCAUCAGUUGAGAUGAAGAAGAGCUUACGCUCCAAAGACCAUCACUGGUGCUCCGUCUUGAGGAUCAUGGAUACCGAAUUUCAUAUGCACAGAGACAGCCAGGUAGCAGGGAAAUAAAUUGUGAUGGGAAAAAGCAAUGGACAAAAAAUUUCCUGCUAAUAGCUCACAAUUGGUGAUUUUAUAUACACUACAAUACAACAGGUAAGUAAAAAGGGCAGAUACCCAAAAUAUGAAAUCGGCCAAAGAAAUAAAUUUAAAAAAAAAAAGAAGAAAAAAUAAAAAGUGGGGAAAGGGUAAAAAUGGAUGGACGUGUUUGCUCCCUUCCACAACAUUUAUCCCACCAUUAGAAUCUCUGAUACAAAAUGUGUCAAAUGGAGAACUUCCAUCCCCCAAUGUCUCUAAAGUCGGGAAGAUGGUGAGGUGCCUCCCUCUGAUCUACGGGCAGCCUGGCCAGAAACUGAUGACUUGUCCGACCCACGAACAUUGUAUCUCUCAUACACCUUUUCACGAUUUUCUGACCACCAAUUCUCGGCUUGAUGUUCUCCAAAUCUUCUUCGGCUGCAUUUGCAUUUACACUUUCAGAUUGCAAUGGUAAAAUACAGUAUUAGAUGCCAUUCUUUUCUCUAGGUUUAAAAAGUUCUGGUCCUCACUAAAGAGGGUUGCCAGCGGCAAAAAUUCUCAUGAUUACAUGGCUCUGGACCAGCUGUCAUGAAGACCUUUCACAGCACUUGAUACCAUUGGUAUUAAUAUGGUUGAUCAGAAGAUCCUAAUUUUUGAUGAGGUGCUAAUUGCAAAUGAGGCCAUUGACUCUUUGUUAAAGAAUAAUGUCAGUGUGUUGUUUAAGUUAGAUAUUGAAAAGGCAUACGACCAUGUCAAUUCGACCUUCUUGUUGUCCAUUCUUAAAAGGAUGAAUUUUGGUUGGAGGUGGGUAGGAUGGAUUAAAUGGUGCAUUUCGCUUGCAAGGUUUUCAGUGAUCGUUAAUGGUACUCCUACAGGUUUCUUUCAAAGCUCUAGAGGCUUGCAACAAGGGGAACCUUUGCCUCCUUAUUUAUUUGUUGUGGCUAUAAAGGCUUUGAGUUGCCUUCUUAGAAGAGCCACAGAUGGUGGCUAUAUUUUGAGGGUAAAGGUGAAGGGAAGAGAUGACGAAGGGGAAGAGGUGUCUCAUUUGUUGUUUACAGAUGAUACUCUUGUUUUUGUAAGGCUUCCCAAGAUCAAAUGGUUCAUUUAUGCUAAUUACUCAUGUGGUUUGAAGCUUGUUCGGGUCUGAAAGUGAACUUGGAGAAAAGUGAGUUGAUUCCUACUGGUAGAGUGGAACGAGUUGAGGAGUUGGUUUCAAAGCUAGGGUGCAAAGAAGGCAAACUUCCUUCUACCUAUCUAGGGUUGCCUCUGGAUGCUCCGUUCAGAUCAGUGACAGUUUGGGAUAGGGUGAAAGAGAGGUUCCAUAAAAGACUCAAUUCAUCUCUAAAGGCGGGAGGCUUACACUAAUCAAAAGCACUUUAUCGACCCUUCCCUUUUAUUUUUUGUCUUUAUUCUUUAUUCCGAGGACAAUCAAAUUGAGAUUAGAGAAAAUUCAGAGGGAGUUCCUUUGUGGAGGUGGAAGAUUGGAGAAAAAGUUCCAUCCUGUGAAGUGGUCCACAAUGUGUUUAGGGAAGAGCACGCCAAGGUGGGGGGUGGGAGGUGGUGUUGCGUGUUAGGGAUUAGGCAUCUUUAUCAAAUAAGGUGUUUUUGUGCAAAUGGAAUUGGAGGAAGGAACAGAACACUUUCUUGUGUAGUCUUUCUUUUGUGAUGGGUAAUGGGAGAGUGAAGUUUUGGAUGGAUAAGUGGUAUCGGGAUGAACCAUGGUGUGUUUUUUUCCCUUCUUUGUAUGCUAUAGCUAUUUCAAAAGAGGAAUGGGUGGAGGAUCUUUAGGUUUAGACAGGGAAGAGAGAUCGUUGGAACCCUUGUCUUUCAAUACCUUUGAAUGAUUAGGAAGUAGCUGAAGAGGAUAUAUUUUUAGGUUCCAAGAAAAGGCAAUUGAUAGUGUGGGGGAAGACAUGAUGGUGUGGAUCAAUUUGUACAGUAAUCAGUUCUCUGUUAAGUAUUUAUAUGUCCCUUUGGAACCAAGGAGUAUGGUUUCUUUUCCAAAGUAGGUAGUUUGGAAUUGAUGGGUCCCCUCUAAAGUUAACUUUUUUGCGUGAGAGGCUUCUUAGGGCAAAGUUUUGACUUUAGAUCAGCUUCAAAAAAGAGGUUAGUCUUUGGUCAAUAGGCAUUUUCUUUGCAAAGAACAGAAAGAAUCCAUAGAUCAUAUCCUCCUUCAUUGUUCACUGGUUAGGAUCCUUUGACAGUUGUUGUUUGAUCUUUUUGGUGUCCAUUGGAUGCAAGCUACUAUCGUUAAAGAGGCUCUUUUAGGCUAGCAUGAUUCAUUUGAGGGCAAAAAACGUAAAAAGGUUUGGAGAGCGGCUCCAUUAUGUAUCUUUUGGACGGUGUAGAAAGAAAGGAAUCUCCCAUCAUUUGAUAACAAGGAGCAUUCAGCCCUUUUUUUAAGAUGUUCUUCCUUAUUUACUUGGGUAAAGCGGUAUAUAGAGACAUUCUAUGUCUUUACUUGAUUUUGUUGAGUGAUCAGGUUUUUGUUACGUGAGGGUGUUAUUAUUGGGGUUCUUUCUUGUUUUUAGUGCUAUUUGGCGCUCUUCAUAUACGUCUCGUGUACUUUGGUGCGUUCUAGUGGCACUUUUUAUUUUUUAAUAAGAGUGGUUUUAUCUAUCAAAAAAAAAAAAAUCCUAAUUUUUUUCCUAGACUACAUCUUAUUGCUGAUCUGCUAAUCUACUUGGACCAUCUAUAUAUAUUAUACACUCACACAGAGGGACGGGAGAGAGAGAGUCAAAAGGUAAUUUAGUCAAGUACCUGAAGCGCACUCUUUUGAGAUCUCUAGUCCCAUCACGAAGGGCCACAAGGGUUAUAUAUACACCGGGCUCAUACUGUUCAAUCCACUCAGCUUCAACUUGACUGUUGUCACUCAAAGUUGAAUUCCUAGAUUUUGUACCACCUUCACCAUCUUGGAGAGGCCCAGAAUCCUUGCAACCGACAGCUUCAGAGACACUACUGCUACUUGUCCGAACCCCUCCACCACCAUUUGGCAUUCCAAUAUCUGGAUUUUCAUCCCUCACAUUGGAGGUCAGAAGUCCCAGAUUCUGUUGGUAUGGAUUUGCUUCAUUGGUUCCAAGUGGAUCCCUCAUCAAUUGAGUAGAACCCUGAGUUCCAUUUAUUACAGCAGAGUAGGUUCCCGUGGGAGAAGCCAAGCAAGAGCCAUUAAUUGAAUCUGAUCUUGAAUGGCGCUCUCCAUUUGAAUCAGGAUAGUGAAUGCCAUUUGGCUCCAAACCGUUCAGUAAGUAAGCUGGCCUCAUGCAUUCAGCAUCAUAAACCCCAGGUGGCAGUCUCUCAGCCAUAUCUUUGAGCUGGAACAGUAAUGAAGGAUUAAUCAAUAGAACAUCAGUGAAACAAAUUUUUUUCAUCAAGUAUUGCAUGAAAGAAUGAAUGAACAGGUAAUUAGCACAUGAAAUUGGAAAAUGAAACCUUAAAAAAAACCCACAAUUUUAACAAAAAAUAUGGAUAAUGGUGCUAAUAGAACAAGACAUGUAACUUGCACCAAAUUUUCCAACUGCUAAACACACACACACCGAAUUCCAUACAUGAAGACAACAGGGCAGCCACAUAAUUGGAAAACGAAAUUUUAAAAUGAAACCUCACAAAAAAACCCACAAUUUUAACAAAAAAUACAGAUAAUGGUGUUAGUAGAACAAGACAUCUAACUUGCACCAAAUUUUCCAACUGCUAACACACACACAUCAAAUUCCAUACAUGACAACAGGGCAGCCACAUAAUUGAUAUAUAACUACUUAAACAACUUGUCAUACAAAACUGGACCUCAAGAGAUCUAGGGCAAUAUAGAAUCCAGAAAAUAACCUGUGCAGUAAGCGAUUUUAUAACUUCUUUUGCAGCUUUAGAUUUAGCAGAUUCCUCAGUAGCCACUACCAUAGCUUCUUGAACUUUCUUUGCUGAUUUCUGAAGCUCCAAUUCUUGAAGUUCACAUCGCUCUCUCAGACUCUCAACCUAACCAGUUUCAUGAUCAUCAAAAUGAGUUCUGAUUGAGAUUAUUAGAUCUAAGUAUAAAUUAAAAAUGAUAAAUUCAAGCUGGCAUACCUGUCCACGUAACUUAAGCACUUCUUGAUUUAAAAGUUCAUUCGUUUUCUUCAAACUAUCAGCAAUGCUUUUGGAGAAGGAAAGUCCAGAAGUUGUAGGAACAGGUGUAGCAGAGCGUGGAGGACUAGGUUUCCUAGAAAAAGGUGACACAGACCUAGAACUAACUCCAGAUGGUGUAAGAAUUGGUCUCGGAACUGUUCGUCGGAGAUCAACAGCACUGAACAAAACAACGUCUUUUAGCUGUAACAAAGGUGCCUGAGAAGGUCGAACUAGGGAGAAAGUAUCAGCCUUCUUUCCUUGUUUGGCAGCUUUGCUAUCUAACUGCUUAAUCAAAUCUAGAUUAGAAGGCAUUGCAGAUUUGGACAGUCUUAUUUCAGCCUUGUCUAACCUAUCCUUGUUUUCACCUGAAAGGCGGGGAACAGUAGUCCUCCUGUUAUUAGCUGCUGCUUCCAACACCUUGUUCAGUUUGGUAUAACAGGAAUCACACACACGGUAUGGCUUGCCUGGAUUAGGAGCCAAUGCAGCUCGUAAUGCUUUUCUGGAACUGCAUGAAUGACAGUGCACAAGUCCACAAUUGUAGCAAUUGUGCCUCUUUCGAGUAAACCCAAACGCCUGUCUACAGGUUGAGCAUUGAGACUGCUCAGCACCAGACACCCAUUUAUGAAGACAUAUAGCUGCUGUGUAGUUUGAACCACAAGCAAUAUAUUUGACAUGUCUAUCCUUCAAAGUUUCAACCAGAGUUGGUGUUUUUCUAUCUUCAAUAUCUCCAUGGCCCAACCUCCCAUUAGCCCCCUUUCCCCAUGUAUAAACCUCAUUCCUAGAUGUUAAUACUGCUACAUGGUACGCACCACAGGCAAUCUCUUCAACACAUUCCCCAAGAAGCUUAUCUUCUACAAAGCAAGGUAGCUUUCCAUCAGAUUGGGGGUUCCCAAGUUGGCCAUAGACAGUACUUCCCAUGGUACAAACUUGUCCUGACGUGGUCAACCCAACAGUUAAACUAUGCCCACAAGCAACUUUUUGAAAAUUGUACUCAAUAAGUGCUGGCACGCAUGUGGGUUUAAGCCUGGGUUCCUUGUCUCCAUGUCCAAGACGGUUUUUAUCUCCAUCACCCCAAGUAAAUAAUUUUCCUGAUGAAACACUUGCACUAGACUGUGUUACAAUAACCUCAACCACAGCAGCAGUGUGCCAAACCCCACAUGCAACAGCAAUUGUUCUCAAUCCAGAUAAAGAUUCUACUUCUCUUGGAUAUGCAACAUUGUCCUUGUCACCAUGGCCCAAUACACCAAAUGUCCCAUCACCAAAUGUAAAGAGCUGUCUUGUUGUUGUCACUAAAGCUGUGUGCCAUGGACCACAAGUUACUGAAGCAACUUGAAGUCCCUCAAGAGGACCUGAAAUUCUCUUGGGUAUCCAGUGACUAACAUCAGUACCAUGACCAAGUAGUCCAGCAUUAUGCGUGCCAUCUCCCCAUGUAAAGAGUUCGCCAGCCAUCGUAACAGCACAAGUGUGGAACUCUCCACAGGCAACAAAAUCAACACUAGUAAAAGCUAAAGAUUCAACUAGACGAGGUUGAAUGACAUCUCUCCCAACGCCAUGGCCGAGCCUUCCUCCAGAUUCUUCACCCCAUGUAAAAAUUUCACCUUGCCUUGUAACUAGGGCAGCAUGCCUGACACCACAGGCUAUAUGAUGUACAUCCAAAACAACAUUGGACUCCAAUGGCUUGGGAAGGAGCAAAUCUGCCCUGGUGGUCAAAUAAUUAGCAUUUUUAUCAGCCCCAACCUUGACCAAAUUAUCGCAUAUAACCUCACCCCAUAUAUAUACAUCUCCUAAAGCAUCACAAUCAUCUGGGGCCGAACCAUGACUGGAAGUGCUGGGAGCACUAGAAACACUUACUCGAAAAGCAUCUGAACCAGAUCCUUUUGUUUGCAUAUUUGUGUGGUCUAAUGCUACAUGUGACCUUUCAGGAGGCACAGAAUUUUCAGGCCGAUAGCUAUUGGGAGAAGUAUUUGAGUUGAAACCGACAGAAACUUCUGGAGAGCUAAUGUCUCGUGUAGCACUGACUGAACUGUCACUUGGACUAUUCGAAGUCAAGUCUUUGCUGUCCUGAAAUUGAUUUACCACAAAUUAAAAUCUCAGGCAUGAUAAUGAGAUUACUAUGUAACAAAAAAUAAUUAUCAGGACAAAUAUCCCAUGCACCUUUAAUUCAGAAACUACAUACUUAAAAAAGUUUGUGCCUCAUAGCCUCAAAAAACAAAAGAAAAAAAAAAAAGAGAGAGAGAAAGAAAGAAAGAGAGAAAGAGCUUCUAUUUACCGUACAAAGGCUCAUUCUAUGACUUUAAUAAGUGAAUCAGACUUUUAACAAAUUCUGUCCCCAUAAACUAGAAAAAUUCUAGCAACAAUAACUAUUCUAAACAGAUACGAGUUAGUAACCUACAAUUACGAAAACUGAUUGGCACCACUCAUCCUUUUCAUCUUUAGUGUGUGUUCAGGCCCAUGAUUUCAGUAUUCCACCAUGUAGGUACUUGAUAGGGUACAAAGAUGAUCUACUUUACAUUUUGAAAGGUGAUCUAAUUUAUAUUUCUCAUAAGUAUCAACUCACUGACCCAAUUGCAGCAUGCACAUACACGAUAGCAUGGAAAAACUGCACAAACCAGCAGCACAUAACAGGUAUUGGAAGGCUUCAGUAAUUUCAAAAAUCAAGGAAAUGUAAGAUCUGGACUAGUACAAUAUUACUCUUCCACAACUUCAGAUACAGGAAUAAGAAGACCAAGUUUAUCAUUAGAAAACACACAGUUUUCCUAGAAUAUAUAAGUUGGUUUUGAUAUUCCUAAAAGUUGAAAUGCUGGAGUGCAAUUCCCAAAAAUAACUACCUAGAGUAACCAAGAUUAUUAAGUUAUCAUUCAAAAUGCAAUGAAUCAAAGUAUACUCAAGUCUGUAGGAGAUGGUACAUGGCAAGAAACAGGUAAUAAAAAUUAACCACAGGAAGUUUCUAGGUAGGUAGAGUUACAUCAAAGUAGAGGCCUCCAUCACUCCAUCCAUCAAUUUUGGAGCGCCCACCUUGACCAGAGGAAAUCAAAGCUUUGAGCCCAGCAAUCCACACUUCUGCCUCAACUUUGUCCUUGCAAAUCUAAAAACAACACAUUAAAUCUUAAGUAUUCAUGCAGCAAAAAGAAAAUAACGAAUAGACUAAUCAAAUAACCAUGGAUGGAAAUCCAAAAUUUCACCACCAACCAGAUCAAGAGAUCGCUUUCCGUUGUUGUAUAUAAGAGAAAAUGACAAAUAAUCCUUCUCAGGACGUAGAUAUCGUUGGAAAACAGCCUGCAGUAUAAUUAUUACAAAAAAAAGAAAAAAGAAAAAUAAAAUAAAAUAAAUAAAGAUUUAGUUGGAAGAUAUAUGUGAAAGAACUGUUUGUUUAAUCAAAUACAAGGAGGGUAGAUUAUCUUGGUAAAACAUUAGAAUCAUAAAGUAGGAAUCUCACAGUUCUUUGUCCAGGAAUAAUUCUAGAGACAGAAGCUAACUUCAAAAUUCUUUCACCACUACUUGAAAUCCAGAUCAGAGAUGAUUCAUCCUGUGAUUUUUAAACAAAGAAUUGGUAAGUAGAUAUGGAAGAAAUUCAAACAUGGAGAGGCAAAGAUAUGGACUAAUAAACCAUAUAUCAGAUAGUAAAAAAGCCAACAAAGUAAAAUCUUAUAGCAAGCCAUGCAUAGGUAGAAUAAUUUUCUCAAAGGUAACUUUCCUUUUGCAUUUCAUGGAACCAAGCUUGGAGCUCUCCAUUCCCACCCCAAUCCUUUGCCACCUGAGCAAAGUCUCAGGCAAUAUGGUAGAAUUUUUGGAACUCCUUAUUUAAUGUUCCAAUAUUUAUCAACAACCAAAAACUAACACAGCCUGUCAAGCCAAUUAUUGGAGAGGAGGAUAUAAACUAACUAGGAGGCGGAUACAUUGGCAAAGAGGGGUCCUAGAUCCCUUGUCAGUCUUGUAGGGAAUUGAAUUCCUAAGGCUCCUGAGUGGGAAUGCAUUUUUUUUAUGUAGUGUGGGCCUUGUUUGUUUCUAAGGUUUUAUCUUAUGCGCACCCUUGUAUGUUUAUGAUUUGCAUAUAAUAUUCUUUGUUAUCUAUUUUUAAGAAAAGAAUGCAGAAAGAAAGAAUAAUGUCUAACAGAAGAAGCACUUGUAUAUUUGUUUUCAGAACCACUCACUAUUUCCCAUCCUAACUGAAUAAGAAUUGCAAUAGACAGGAAGCUCAGAAAAAUUUUACCAACUUAAAAAUCUGCCAGACUAUUUAAAUGGCAAGGAAAAUGCAUGUGCAAUCAGCCACAGAUGCAAUUAUGCGACUAACAUGGAAGAGCUGAACAGAAUCAAUCUUACCAACCACAGACGGUAGGAAUAAGACUCUACCCUGAUACUUGCAAACAAGCACAGAAUCACUAAUAAAACAAAAAUACAUACUACUAAGUGAGGGAGAUCUUAUAUUUAUCAUAGAAUUGUUAGCUGCGGAGUUGUAAGUCAACAAAUGAAAUUAACAAAAUACUGCCAAUCAAAAAAAUAAAAUAACGUUACCAAAAUGUGCAAUGUUGGUGUCCAAGUUAGUCAAAAGGCUGACUCAUGCUUUGAGAAUUGUUUUGUAAUUUAUUAUACACAAAAUUUGACCUUCCAAUCAUCUUAACAGUGAAGAUGAUGGAUAGGAAACCAGUGGAUUCUGCCUUCCAAUAUGAAACCUAGGAUUGCUCUCUAUAUUUUUAUCUAUGUCAUACUUGUAUAAUUUUAAUAUAUUUUGAAGAUACUUAGCAACUAAUAGCACUCAUAAAGUUAUAAUCUGAGUUUUCUAAUGUUUAGAUGUCAUUCAAAGUUCAAUUAGUUUCAAAUUGUUUACUAAUUUAAAUGCUGGCCCAUUCCUAUAUGAAUUGUAACUGAGUUCAUUGCAAUCUGAUUUUAAAUGGAAGUUGUCAACUUGUCAUUAUGCGGAAAAAGGUUUGACCCGCUAAAGGGUAUUUCCAUGGGAUCUAAAAAUGGAUUCACUUUAGGUGUUUAGAAGGCUGAUUUCAGUUACAUUACGUCUUGAGAAGUUGAAGUAGAAAUACCAUUUCUUUUUUCCAAGAGAAAAGCAUGCCUUCACUGUUUUAGACACUGUAAUUUGUUUUCCUUGAGUUAUUCUAACUACAAUAGUUUAAACUACUUGUUUAUUGAUUGGUCUUGACUCCCUAUCAGACCAUAGAAUCUCAGAUGAAGCCUAAUUUUGCCCUCUAAAAACAAAUAAGUAAAUGGGAAUCCUAAUUUAAUCAUUAAGAGAAAAGCCCAAUGCUUUGUGUCAGUCAUCCAACAGAUCACAUUAUAAUCUCAGUGACAAAUUUUGCAAUACGGAAAAAAGAAAUCAUUUCACAUACAAGAUGCUACUGAUAGACCUGCUGUUAUCAGGGAGAAGAAACAGUUUAAACUCAUAAUUGUUUCAGCAUCCCUCCGAAUUUAAGCAUACCUUAAUUUAAAAAAUUAUCUACUCCAAACAGCAAGUGUAGCACUAUGAUCUGACAGCACUAAAAUAUUUAAGCAUCUAACUUACAUUGGAAAGUCUAAAAGGACAAAAUUUGGGCUUCCCUUUACGACCAUAUUUAAGCAGUUGAGCACCCUUCUUAAGAGCAAUUAAUGCCUGCAAAAGGUAAAGAUCAUUUGCAACCAUGAGAAACCAACCACUGGCACAAAAAGAUUACAAAUGAAAAAUACCAGGACAAGAACACAGAUAGUAUCAUUAGGUUGUAAUAAUGUUGCAACAGAUAUGCAAAAGCAAAUGCUAAAUUGCUGCAUAAAUCACCAGAGUUUGUGGGGAAACAUAACUGUGCAUUUUGUUAUGCCAUAGGGAGACCCUCAAUUGACACAUAUAGGUAGUUGACAAUUGACUUACUGCAAUCCAGUGGCAAACUAAGGUUUUUUACAUGGCAUUUAGGAAAUCCUAGUUGUAAAUUAUGAGAGGAAGACGUUCUGUUCCCAUUAUUGUUACAGAUGGGAUGCAAAAAACAAUGAUAAGAAGGCAGAGAACACAAAACAGGAGACUGUUGAAGGUAGGAUGCCACUGUAUCAUUUUAGGUUUCAUAGGAUAAUGAAACCGUGUUCAUUAUUUCAAGAUUGCAGAUAGACACAUUUUAUGCCUAUUGUUCUGCUAAUAAGGAUGGGAGAUGCCACAAACAAAUUCUAAAUGUCAACUAUGAUAAAAGACACGCCCAACUUCCCUAAAGUAGGUUCUCAAAGUUGAUUCCAUAACUUACAGUUCAAGAGGAUUAAAUGGACUAGGCAUUAUAAUGAUUUUGAACCCUUCUUUAUUUUUUGAUAGGUAAUAAUGAUUUUGAACCCUUAGACCUAUAGCAGAGAGCUCCGUCAGCAUUGCAACCCAUACUAACAUAAAUAACAGGUUGUUAAUGUGUUAUGUAAUUGUAGUAAAUUUCAUGUGACAGAUUUGAGCACCUUAUACUGGUCAUAACUUCAAAACUGCCAGCACAAAAAUUAUAAUUUUCCAAAAUACAUGAUUUCCAUUUUUAGAAUCUUGAUAUACAUGUGUCACCAUCCAAAUCCAUCUAAAUGUUUUCAUGUGUGCAAAAGUAAUAAAUACAUCAUAAAAGUUUGGUAUACAAUUCAAAAAAUGGAUCAAGAAUGAAUUGAUGUGUGCAAUGUCAUUGAAUUUGUUAAUUAACCGUGACAAUUUUCAUGAAAAAAUAUUAUUCAAAAAGUGCACCAUGGGAUAUAUCCCCUUUCAGCACAAAUCAUUGAUAAUCAUUAAUCGUGCAAUGAGUGGCAUAUUUGAGAGGCAUUUCAUCGUGGGUCAUUGCAGAUCCCCCUAUCCCAUUCUUUCCAUCACAAAACCAAAUUUCUUCAAAUACGAUCCUCUGUUUUCCAAACUUCCACGGAUUCAAGUGGAAACCCUCAACAAAACACAUCUACCUAUACUAUCUACAAGCCAAAACAUCUUUUGAUCCAGCCUUCUCAAAUUCCUCAGUAUAUACCCUGCCUUGAAAGGUUCCCCCAGUUGAACUGGUAGAAAAAUGUCGAACUCCUCCAAGACCAAUCCUAAUAAAACAUCACCACAGCCUAUUCUUUCAAAUGUCACAAAUUUCAACCAUACCACCAGUUGAUAUUCCAUGAAAAGACCACAAAACUCAAAACUCCACCGGCCCAUCCCCAUUUCCUCAACAAAUGCAUCAAAUUUCUAAAUUCAACAAGGAAAUGGUCACUUGUCGCCAUCCUCCAUAUAUCUUACUUCUGAAGAUUCUAAAGAAAUUGAAAUUGAAUGAAGCGAACAUAUCCACCAAAAAUCAUCCAGAAAAAAAAAAAAAGAAAGAAAACACGAUUUCACUCCAAAUUUCAAAAGGAAAAAAAUAUAGAAAGAAAAGCAAAUCAGGAAAAAAAAAAUUACCUGCUCGACGUCACGCUCUGCAUUACCGUAGCUAACAAGAUCUGCCAUUCCAUGUGAAAGAUUCGCCGAAACACCACCACCCUCUGCCACCGCGUUCAGGUGCUCCGGUCAUCAUAAGCUUCCACCACGACGACGACUCUCUCGUCCGUACACUACCAUCAACGUCUACUCUCCACCAAUAUUCCACCCCCAAAACGACGCCGUUAAACCCUAGAUCUGCAACUCUCCCCAGUCCUCAACCACAAGAAACCUAAACCCUACCAACUCCACCGAAAUCGAAACUCCCUGCAAACUACGUUCACAGUUCGUGACGAUUCGUGGACUGGCCGUGGACUCACAACAAUGCUUCGGAGUUGACGAAACCGCCCUCCCGGAGAAAAGAAACAAAGAUUCAGAGAUAAAGGGGUCCCCGGAGAGAAAGGCCGGCGGAAGCGGACGAAGAGCGGCGACGAAACGGAGGAACCGGAGGGGAAGAGGAGAGAGAAAAUCAGAGGAAGCAAAGAGAAUCGGAUUUAAGUCCGGAGUCGAGUCCGCGUAAGUACGAGUCAAAAGAUGGGAAAAAAAGCAUGAAAUCGUCUGAGAACGAAAAGAAAUAUGAGAUGACAUUUCCAAUAAGGUAAAAACAUUACAAUAUUCACCAUUUCUCCUAAUUCUACUUUCCUCCCAUCUACUUUUACAUAAUUUCUGUUACCGCUUUUGAUAUCUUUGAAAUUACAUCUACUUCCUCAUGUUAUCUUCUAUGCCCGUCUCGUAUUCAUGAAUUCAUUAUUUAAAAGGAAAGUACUAUAAAUUUCGAUUUCACAAGAAUGCUAGUUUUUUUAUAAAAAAUAAAAUUAUCAUCAAACAAUUAAUUAUUAAAAAAUAAAAAAAAAUAAUAAUUGCUAUUAACAUUGAUUUCUCUUUACAUUUUCCUUCAUUUAUUGGUACAUGGAAUAUCAAAUAUUCAAAAAUUAAUGUAUAUAUAACUAUUAAUUAUAAAUAUGAAUACAAAUUUAUUGUAAAAAUUAAAAUUUUCCAUCACAUGAUAUUAUGUUCUAUAAAUCCUAGCCUAAAGAAACGGUAAAAUUUAAAAGUUGUCCCGCAUUAGGUAGAAGUCAUAUGCUAAAUACUUUUCCAACAAAAUUAAUUUUGAAAUUCCUUUCCUGCGGAAAUCACGUGUUAGAUUGGAGACGAAAAGUCACGUGAAAAUUUAAAAGUCGUAUUUGGAAUGUCUUUGUAAAUUUUUAAAAUUUUGAAAAAAACCAAAGACAAAGUUUAAUUAUUUUUUCAAUAUUAAAAUUCUAGAAGUUGCACCAACGUUCGGGGGACAUGGGGGCAAGUUCGUAAAUUGGACAACAAGGACGGUGUUGGUGCUGUGGCUAAGGGAAGAUGACAAAAUGACGGAACUGACCCUGUACGAGAUUGACGUGGCGGCUAAAUAAAGGCUGAGUUGUACUUUUAUCAUUGCUCAAGAGAGUACGGUUGGUGAGUGACUGGCGGAUUUGCAGCGGGGGCGUCUGGGAGGAGAGAUCGGGUACUUCUCGGGAGUACGUGCGCCAGAGAUUUUAAGCCGUUAACUUCGGCGGAUGAUUCCAGAUUUGGGAGUCAAUCGAGGAGAUUAUUGUAGGAAAAUCAUAUCUUGCCAAAUCAUCAUUGGAAAAAUAGUUUGAAUACUAAAAGUUCUUCUGACUUUUAGGGUCUUAUGAAUCUUGCAGGAAAUUGGUUGGAUUGGAAAAUGAAAUCAAGGUUUUAGUUCAAUUAAGUGUUUGGUUUGUAAGUAUCUAAUAAUAUUGUAUUUGGUUUGUAGAAUGAAUAAAAAUGAAAGGUAAAAUAUAUCAUAUUUUAAUAUUUUUCUUAAAAUAAAAAUAAUAAUGUGAUGAUAAUAUUGGUAAUUAAAUUAUUAAAAAUAAUAAAUAAAAAAAAUUAUGUUAUAGUGUUAAAGUUGUAAAAAUCUUUUGUAUAUACUAAUUAUUAUAUUAAAUUACUUUCUUUUUCAAACUAAAAAAUUUAUUUUUUUAAUAAAUUUUUAAAGUUGAUUAGAAAUUAUUUUUUAUAUUAAUUAUGUUAAUAAAGGAAGAGAUCAAGGUUGUUGCUUAUACAAUUUCAUUUUGGGUCAGCCUAAAUCUAAAAUUUUCAAUUAUUAGUAUUAAAUAAUUUAAAAUAGGAAAUUAUGAACAAUUUUCAAUUAUAAUUAUUAGAAAAACAUUAAAGCAAUAAAUUUAAGUAUAGUUUGGAUAAACUUCCCAUUUUUUAAAUUAAAAAAAAAAUAAUAAGUCAUAUAUAUAAAACAUAAUGUAAAAAUAACUUAUGAAUUUACUUUAUAUCCUUAAAAAUUAAUUUUAAAAUUUGAGAUAUUAAUUUUAAAAUUUACUUUAGAGAAUUGAAAACUUUUAAUAGGUAAUUGGAGUCCCCGGACGUGGAGGCAAUGUAGAGGAUAGCAGAGCCCGUGAUAUGUGAUAUCACGUGUAGGUAUCUCAGAAAUUGAGGAAAAGCAACGUUUUUAUUUUAAUUAGUAUUUAAUUACGGAUUUAGAAAGAGGUUAUUAUUACGCGAUCUUUCUUUGCUUUUGGGAAGUCUAUCUUGAAAUGACCAAAGCACCCCUUGGAUUUGGGAAUUUCUUGAAGGACGAGCCCUCCCACCUCUGUUCUUUUCGAUCUGGUGUGUGAGCGACCGUGUCUGGCAGAUGAGGUCUACAUGAGAUUGCAUGCAUGCCCACCGUUCGAUCAGAUUAUUUCAACCGCCCAAUACUUGGACUUUUACUUUUUGUUUUUUUUACUUUGACCGCAAAACGGUUGAAUAUUCAGCAGAAAAUGUCUCCAACCAUCCCUUUCUGGUGGGGGGAUAGUAAAAGGCAGCGCCUUCUUUUUUUUAAAAAUUAAAUAGGAUUAUUUAAAAAUUAAAAAACAGAAUUUAAUUAAAAAAAAUUAAUUUAGAAAAUGGGUUCAAUCACUUAGACAUGACAAUUAAAUCUUAAAUAAGAAAAUAAAAUUCAACGGUAAAAGUAAAGGCGUGUUUGGCCAAGAAAGGGUGUUUUCACAGGGGUGGAAUAGAGAUAGAUGUGAAGCGGAAGCAAACUUAGCUUUCAAAAAUAAAUUGUUUGUCAUGGACCACCACCUCAAGUGGCCUACCCCGGGGGCCUUAUUACCAAUUUAGGCUUCCCUAAAAGAAGUGAUAAAAAUACACUCAAACUGUUUUUAUAUUUUACUUUUAAUCAUAUGGUUGUAACUUGAGACCACAUGAUUUGUUAUCAAUUACAGUCAACAUUCAACAAUCUGUUCCCACUUCAACCCACCUUUAGUUGGAGCUAAUUACCAGCCCCUCGGUAUUGACCAAAUUUACAUGACCCACAGUCAAGAGUUGAUCCAUCCACUAAAAUAAUAGUUUGGAGGGAGAGGGAGAGGGAGAGCAGAGGGCAGGGGAUGCAGCAGAGAGAAUAGUUCCAAAGGGAAGAGCUCUGUUUGGUGAGGAAAGUGCUAGACUUGUAACCCUCUGCCAGGCAGAUGAUUCCAAUUGAUGUUCCCAACAUGAGCAACACUGUUACUCUGAACCCUUUGCAUAAUUUUGAACACAACCCUUCUGCCUACCUUCUUCAUCUGUUUGGUUCCUCAGAAACAUUAGGAAAAGUUUUGUUUACUUUCUAUAUUUUUGUUUUUAACAAUACAAACAUAAAAUAUAAUAAUUUUUAUAUAAAAGAAUAUUAAUUUACCUAGUAUCCUUAGGGAUUACUUUUAAAUUUUUUGAGAUAAAUACUAUGUUAUUUCUUAAAAUAUUUUAUUAAUAAUAACAAUAACAAUAAUAAUAAUUAUAAUAAUAAUAAUAAUAAAGUCUUUAUAAAGAAUGCAUCCUUGUAGAAAAAUAUAAGAAAAUAUAUCUUUUAUAACAAUAAUAAGAAAUUCUUUAUAAGGUAAAUAUAAUAGGGGGAAAAUUGUAACUAUAAAUAUCCUAUAUACGAAAUUGUUUUUUUAUAAUUAAAAAAGUCCUUAAAAAAGAAUAUAUAUUUUUAUAUGGAAAAGUGUUAAAUACUUGGUAUAUAUAAUAAUAAAAUAAAUAAAAAUUUAUUUAAAUUUCUUUAUAAAAUGGGAUAAUAUAUUUAAAAAUAUAUGGAAAGAAAAAGGCAAUUAAAGCUUUUGAGUAAUUAAUAAGUAAAUAAAUUAUUUCUUUAUAAAAGUAAUAAUAUAUUAAAAUAAUAUAGAUCUUUGUAAAAAGGUAUAAUAUAUUAAAUAAAUAUGAACAAAAAUGGUUUAGAGAAAAAUGGAAAUAAAAUAAUAAGUAAAUAAGUUAUUUAAAUUUAAUUUUUUAAAUGAAUAGAUAUUUUUUAUAAAAAUAUAUAUUUAAAAAUAUAUAAUAUUUUUAUAAAAAUGAAUAACAUGUAGAAAGAAAAUGUGAGAAAGUGUACUUCAAGAAAAGAAACGUUUAUAAAAAUAUAUUACAAAAAUAUAUGUAAUGUACUAAAGAUAUUAAAAAAAAUUAAUAUGUGGAAGGGUAAAAAAUUAUAAAAAUAUAAAAUGUAAAUGACAUAAUUUUUUUUAAUAUAUUUGCGUUGCCCCUUUCUCUCAUGUAAAUAUCAUCUACUUUAAAUUUAAUUUUAAUUUUAAAAUAUACCUAUAUGAUUAAAAUUAGGGCUUACAAAGUUACAAUAGAUCAAUCUUCCAAUUUCAAUUUCAUCUCAUUUAUUUAUGUAUAUUUCUAUCCUUAUAAAAAAAUUAAAUAAGGCAAGACAUUGUCCUUCCGUAAAAAAGUUGAAAAAUAAAAAAUUGAACUAUUAUUUUAUUUGAGACUAUAUAUAUUCAAGGUACAAUGGGAUAAAGUCAAUCUUUUUAUUUGAGACUAUAUAUAUUCAAGGUACAAUGGGAUAAAGUCAAUCUUUUUAUUUGAUACUAUAUAUAUAUAUAUAUAUAUAUAUAGAGGGUAGGAUGGGAUAAAGUUAAACUUAAACCGAAUUUAAGUCUAUCUCAGGUAUUAAAAAAAAUUCAAAUCCACCCUGAAUCCUUUUAUAUUUAUUUUAAAUCCCUCGUAUUAUGAGUGGAGUAUUAUCCGCAGAAACCUAUCCCCUUGUCAAAAGAAGUCCGAGUCGAAUCAUGUGCCAUGUAAUAUCAAAUAUCUAUGUACGAUAAAUAUUUGUUUUAAGAGAGAGGCUACAAAUGCAAAACAACCCAAUUUAAAGUUGAUUGAGAUGCCUAAAACUGGAUUAGCAAAUCUUAAGGGACCCCUUUUUUGAAAAACAAAAACCCUUUUAAGAUACAAAGGUGGAGAAUAUUUGGUAAUGGGCAUGGAAGUUAGUGAUUAAUGGGAAAUGGCACUAAGGAUGUAAUUAUAGAAGGAGACCAUAAUCUCCAACUUGAAAGCCGCCAAGUAGUUAGGUGCUGUCAACAGUGAGAAAGAAAAUGAUGAGAAAGAUGAAGCGGAAGAGGAGGUGGGAGGCUUCCAAAGGCUAACUUUGCGGACAAGAAGCCAAGCUUGUAAGUUUGAGGGCCCCCUUGAUACGACUUUACCAACCUACCAUGCUCUCCUCUGCCCCCCUUAGGGAGCAUUCUAUUAUUCACCCUCCUCCCUCCUGCCCUUCUUCCCUGCUUUUUUUGGUCUUUCCCUUUUCUUUUCUUUUCUUUUCUUUUCUUUUCUUUCUUUUUUCUUGGGAAAAUUCUUUUUGGAGAUGAUCCGAUGCGCCAAAAUUUUGUUACGUGCUACAUCGUUUUCGCUUUUCAAAGGGUUUAAUAUUUGCCCGAUGAUUGCAGGUGAUGAUGGAAAUCAAAUGAUAAUCAUAGAGGUGAAAGGGGACCAAAGUACUUUUUUUUUAUAUAAAGUUGCAAAUCAUGCCCCAAUUUUAAUCUAUUGUGUUUCAUUUUUGCACUUUUAGUUUGAUGUGCCCCAUCUCUAAUUUUGGAUAAUUCAGGUAAAAUAAAAAGAAUACCCUACUUGUAUGUUAGGGGUAUCAGAUAAAAAUUAUUUUUUUAAAAAAAUUUAAAAUAUUUUUAAUUUUUAAAUGAAUUUUUAUUUUAAUCUCAAAUUUGGGAUAAUUCAGGUAAAAUACAAAGAAUACCCUACUUGUAUGUUAGGGGUAUUAGAUAAAAAAAAAAUUUAAAAAUAUUUAAAAACAUAAAAAAUUUAAAAUAUUUUUAAUUUUUAAAUGAAUUUUUAUUUUAAUUAUUUUAAAAAACUGUUUUCAAAAUUAUUAUUUUUUAAAUUGUUUCAGGAUAUAUUCGGAGGCUGUUACUGUUAGACUCUUGCCAAUGAAAUGUUUUCACUUUUCACACAGGGGUGAAUGAAGAAAAUACAAAAAAAAAAAAAAAAACAAAGGGGGGGGGGAGUGCAAAUACGCUAAAGCAAAGGGCAUCAGUGAAAAUACCUCAAAAUAAGUAAAAUCUCAUGUGUACAGUCCCUUUUGCUUUUUCUUUACCUUUUUCCUGGUUUUUUUCUUUCUUUUCCAUUUUGUUUUUCGUUCUCUUCUAUUGAAAGCAGCGUCACAUAUUUCCUAAAUAAGAAAUCUUACCUGUCAGUUACCACUUUUUAAUUCUUGACAAAAUACAGCAUUUAAAUAAAAUAAAAUUUUCUCAUCUCCUUAAGAUUUAAUGUUAAUUGAUAAUUUAAGGUAGUUUUCAAAAUUUUGUUUAUUUUAUUUGUUAAGGAUAUGUUUGAAAGUGAUUUUAAAAAUGAUUAAAUAUUUGAAAGGAUUUAUUUAUUUAUUUUAAAAUUAAUGUUGGACAAUUAUUUUAAAAAUAUGAAAAAUUACUUAACAUAAUUUAUGGACAAUUACUUAGUGGGUGACUUCCAAAAAUCAUUUUAUUAUUAUAUCACAUAUUACCAAAAACAAUCCUAGUCAAGCAUUAAUUCCAUGUUUGGUUCCUUUUAAAAUAAAAAAAAAUAUUAAAAAAAUAAUUUUUAUAUAUUUAUUGAUUUUUUAUAUGUUUAUUUUUUUAAAAUAAAGAAAAAUAUCUUGUACAUAAAAAAGUAAAUUAUUGAUUUUAUCUAUUUUUUCUAUCUUUUUAUUUCUCUCAAAUUUACGAAAAAGUCAAACGUAGGUUAAGCGAUUCUUUUUAAAAGCAUAUAAACACAAUUAAAAAACAUUGUAAUCAUAAAAAGUAGGAGAUAUUUUUGUUUCAAAAUAAAAAAUAUUAAUAUGGGAAACUCUUUUAGAAUAGGAAAAUGGAAAAUAAUAAGAUUGGAAAUCCUUUUAGGAGAAGGGAGGAAGCAAAAUGAUGAGAAGGUAGGAGGGAGAGGUGAUCGAAGAGGAAGACGGAAGGGCCUACGGGCGAUGUGUCAACAUCAUUGAUGACAUGAAUAGGCCUUUCAUGUUUCACUAAUUGGAAUGUGAAAAUACCAACUUUAUUGGAACAUGGGGGCUGGCCCUUCCAUUCCCACCAUGGCUGUCUUCUUUGUCAUCAUUAUAACCCCAUUUUAAUUCCUUCCUCCUCGUUAUGCCUCAAUCAUAUUCCACAAUAACUGCCCUUGCUUCUCUCUUAAGCACCUCCAAUUUUUUCCCUAACUAAUAAUUUUAAUCACUCAUUUAUUCCCUAAAUUCUAAACAUCCUUCUAGAAGUCAGAUGAGUAAAUGGGCACCCAUGGGUCAGCCCGCUCAUGUUGUAGCCCAGCAUGGGCUGGGCUGAACUAAUCCAAAAGCUAGAGGAAGUCCAACACGAGGCCAUAUAUGAUUUUUCUAAGAUGCAUACCUUUCUCUCUGAAUGUUCUCUUCCUACUGUUACCGCCUUGUUGGGACAACUUCGACUGGGCUGGUUUGGUGCUUAAUUGUGAUCGAACCGUCUCUUCUCGAUGGCCUGGUAGCAUCUGUCACAUAAGGAAGAUCCGAGGGGGGAUAUUAAGAAUUCCCAUCCGACGAUGGAGUCAGGAUUUGAGUAAGGGGCAAGGAGAAAGGAAAGAGAAACUUAGCCAAGAGAGAUGGAGAGAGAGAGAACCUACCUUGUUCAUUGUUGGGCUCCUUUUUAUAAACCCUUCUCCGGGUGUUGAUUAGUGGGCAUGGACUGCUAUGCAUGGUCUCAUAAAUUUGUGCCAGGUUGGAGGUCCAGACGGGUGACCGACAACAUUUAUGAACCGUUGCCGAUGCUAAGCGUCUAGGGCAAGGCACGCCAUUCCGGGAGGCAGAGAUGCAAGUGCGCAUUAUGAUCCGAGAGACGUGGCCGACAUUUUGCGGAGCUGAUCUACACAUGGAGGGUAGGUGUGGAUACGAGUAUGGGUCCCAUACGAAUCCGAGCCUUCACUCUGACUGUUACUAGAUGUUGAUUUAUCAAACAUUCUUAAAAUUAAAAUUUAAAAAUUUAGAAAAAAAAUUAAUAAAAGAAAAAAAUAUUUAAAAAGAUUACUUCUUUGGUAUUAUUUUCAAUUAUUGCCUUUAGUCAAUUUAAAGAUAUUGUUAUAUGGAGAAUUGUUUGAGGAUGUCACUCCUACCAUUUACUCAAGGAGGGCUCUUCGAACAACAAUUGGGGAAGAGAACAUUUGGCACUGGUUUGAAGGGGGCUCUAUCAAGUAGGAAGAGGGCAAUCACUGUCAACUAUCAAGAGAGAAAAAAUUGUGUAGGUUAAAAUCGUAUUAGCCUGUUCUAAAAAUUUUUGAUAACUAAUACCCGUUCAUAGUAACCUUUUUCUCAAUUUUAUGUCGUGAAAAUCAUAUUGUUGUAGGAUGUUUGGUAUAAAUACUGUGAGAAUUGAAAAAUUCCCUAACACCACUAUGGAUCUAGAAGACUUUUGGGACGUGUGACUACUAGGUGGCAAUGUAACUUGCCCUUCAAUGAAUCUUUCUAAAAAUGAGAUUAUUCUUUCAGAUUGCGUUUGCGGGUGUUUUGAGGCCAGUGAGCUGGGUAGGCUGGUGGGCAAUGAAAAAGUGCAAGAGUAGGAAUUGGAGAGAAUUGUAAGGCAUGGGCUUUGGUGCAUCCAAUAUGAGCCAUCACUUAGCUUUCAAUGAAGAAGGUGGUUGUGGACCCGUAUUUUUCACGUGCGUCCCCACUCAAUAGGCGAUACUCAUUUUUAUUGGUGAAAAAUUAGUUUUGGAAAAGUCAGAAUUGCUACUUAUUUUAUUUUAUUUUAAAAUAAAAAAAUAAAACAAGAAAGAAAAUCCUAAAAAAAUGACUUCAUAGUUUUUGGAAAAACAUGUCUUUGAAAAACCUGAGUCUAGGUUUAGGAAUCAGGUUACUUAUUGGGAAGGUAUAUCUAAAAGGUAGUACCCCUCUAAGCCUUACAGAGGUCUCUACUGACUAAGUUAAGGGAAACGUGACAAUGAAUUGGUCGAUUAUAAAUACCUAGGUAGGCUAGGUGAUUUAAAAAAUAGCAUGCCUAACAAGAAAACCAAUCACAAAUCAUAAAGAAUAUUUAGGGUGUGUACUUGGUGUAGACACUCCAUUUUGUCCUCCUAGUACAUGUCCUAUUAGGUAUUUGUUCGGUACUUUACAGUAAUUCCUUGGUGGGCCAUCACUACUCGUGUAGCCUAUCUUUUUUAAGCUACAUUUGAGACUUUGAUUGAGGGAUUUAUCUAACUCUAUUGUGACACUUGGCAACCCUAAAUUAGACUUAGGCUUAUUUAGGUACCUUAGGCCCAUUUAGGCACCCUACACUCAUUUAGGUACACUUGGCCCAUUAGGCACCACCUUAGGCCCACUUAGGUACCUUAGGUCCACUUAGGUAUCCUAGGUCCAUUUAGGUACAUUUGGCCCAUUAGGUACAACCUUAGGCCUAUUUAGGCACCUUAGGUCCAUUUAGAUACACUUGGCCCAUUGGGCACCACCUUAAGCUCACCUAGGCACUUUUCUAAGGUGGUGUUUGUUUUUUUGGCUUUUUGCUGAAAAUCAUUUAGUUUUAGAAUUUAGGUUGUUUGUUUUUUUACUUUUUUAUGACUUAUUAUAAACUUUUUACUAAAUAAAAAAAGCCAAAAUAUAUGGCUUUUUCUAAAUAGAAAAAAUAACACAAUGGUUUUUUUUACUUUUUAAUACUUAAUAGAAAUAAAAUACUACAAAAACAAACAACCUAAUAUUUAAUACUAUUAAGUAUUAAGGUUCUAUUUAGAAUUAAGUAAAAAAACAAACGCCACCUAAGUUUAGUUUUACUUAGAGUUGUUUUCUUGUCUUUAUUUAUUUAUUUAUUUUAUUGAUUGAUUUUAGGAUUAAGUGAGUUUUGACUUAUUUUACAUUAUUUCAUUAUUAUUAUUAUUUGUAUUUUUGUUUAUUUGUUUUAUUUUUAUUUUAGGGUUAAGUGAGUUUUGACUUAUUUUAUAUUAUUUCAUUAUUAUUAUUAUGUGUAUUUUUGUUUAUUUAUUUUAUUUUGAUUUUAGGAUUAAGUGAGUUUUGACUUAUUUUAUAUUAUUUCAUUAUUAUUAUUAUUAUUAUUUGUAUUUUGUAUAUUUAUUUUAUUUUGUGAUUACAUGAAAUGAAUUUUUUGAUUUUUGGUGGUUUGAGUUUGACACUUUGAUUAUUAUUAUAUGUUGCAUUAGUUUAAUUUUUUUUAUUAAAUAUGAGUAAUAUUUAUUUAUUUAUGUAUUAUACCUUUUAUUUAUGUAUUGAUUUUUUUUUUCUUAUUUGCAAAUUUAAUGACUUUUGGAAAUGAGAGUGAAAGGAAUCUUGACUUAAUAUGAGGGGUUUGAGGUCUGCUAGGCCGAGAAAUAGGCCGUUGGAUAUGCACAUGGAGUCCAAGUCAGGAACUCCAUCAAAAGAUGAUGAGAAGUCGAAAGCAUCAUGAAUUGCUAGGAAUGGGAAUUAUCGACCCUUAAAGCGAACAAUGGAGAAUUCCUUGGAGGACUGGGAUCAAUUCGUUGAUAAAUCCCGGGAUGCUUGGCAGUAUGGCAUUCAAAAGAAGCAAAGUUCUGCUAGGGUUGUAGCGAAUAGAGAUUCAUAGCAGUUGGUUUUUGUUGUCCGUAAAUUCUCUUAGUGCCUUCGAGAAGCUUUAGGCAUAAUUUAUUUUUUGUUACUUUUCUGAUGCUUGUUCCUAGUGCUGAAAGCUCUUGAAGCAUUAACUCCUUUUGCUGAUCUUGUGAAUGAAACACAGUUAAUUCGGAACAAGUUCCUAUUGGCUUAUUCAGGAUACUUUUCAUUAGUUGAAAAGAUCAGGGAAAAGAGAACCUGAAGAGACAGUGGCUAAGAUCUCCUGACAUGGUCGUCUCCUGGCUUGGCUUUUUAUACAUGGAUCUGCACCGAGUUUACUGCACGUCCAAUUACAAAUAAUUAAAGGGUUCAAUGUGUGGGUUGACCAGCAUUCUGCCUCCUUGGAUACGUGAGCUGCAACUUUUGCCCUGUGAGUACCCUCCUCAACUCGACAUUGUGUUAUGGCUUUGAUUGAGUAGGAGUUGGUGAGAGCUUCCCAGUUAUGCCCCUAACAUUGUAGUUUCCCUCACACAAUAUAGCUACUGACUCCUUGGAUCUUGAAAUGCUGAUAGGCUUCGUUCAUGUAAAACAAUUCACAUUUAAAAGAUGCAAUGUACAUUCUUGGGAUUGGACAGGUUUAGGUUGACAUCUGAAGAGGCUGCAACAUGCAUACACAUGGAAGGCGACCUCUCCAAAAAAGGAACACGAUAUGCAUGGCAUGGAGAAUAUUUUUGGGAAGGUGACUCAGCAGCACGUGGAUGAUUGUUGGCUCUCUUCGGGCUGGUGAGUUGUCUUCCCAUGUUGGUGGAGUCAACGAGAGGGAAGAGAGAUCUUUGAUUUGGGAAAGGAUUUUGAGGGAAGAAAACACGCCGGUUUGAGGGGAAAUAAAAAUGAUUUUCAGCACGUGGAGGAGAAAAAUGACAGGCUAGUGGAAGAAUUAGUCUCACUUUCGGGGAAGAUACAACAAGCGUUUUAAAAGGGCAUUACGCUGAUUUUGGGUGAGAGAUUCAAUGCUCCAUUAAAAAAAAAAAAAAAAAGGAAGAGGAAGUGAUCACUCAGAUUUUUGUUGUUUAUUGGAUCAAAACAAAAUUUAUAACCUAAUUCACUAUUCUAUAGCAAUUUGUACCCGAUCAAAAAGUGGUUUUAGUACAAACUACUAUAGUAUAGAGGUUUUUAGGUAUCGUCCACAAGAAUGGAUUAUUCUUGGUAAUCAAGCCUUGAAUGAGAGGAGAAGAAAUGAUUGAGAUCAAGUGAAAAUGAUUUGACAAUUCAUGAUAAAAAUUCAAAAUGACAAUGAUUCCAAAUUGAGAGGAAAAUGAAAUGUAAAAUAGAAGAAAAUUAAUAGAAAAUGAAAUUCUCGGAGUUAGGAUUUUCUAGAAAACAAUUUCCAUGGUGAAUAGAUGUUGAGAUCUAACUUUCAUCAAGUUAUAUUGAAAACCUAAAUUUUCAUCUAAACCAAAUUUUGAUUUAGCUUUAGGUCUAGAUCUAAUUUCUCUUCAAAUUAGGUCAUUUAAUCCAAGAGAUCAAUUCAAAUCAUAUAUUCAAUUCAUCUUAAAUUAUCUUCCAAUGAUUCACAUAAUGCAACUAUUCAAUCUCAUCAAAUCUAGCAUUAAAAAUUUGAUGAAUCUACCUAGUUUGCAUUGUAGUAAUCAUUCAAGACAAUUUGAAGAGAAAAAUCCUCAAAUUUCAAUUAAUCAAUCAAUUGGAUCAAAUUGCUUUUGCAAUUCAAGCUCAUUUCUCUAAUUCACCAUAGAUCUUGCCUUUAGAUCCUCUAUCCUCCGAGAAAAAUGAGAUUUAGUAGCUCAUGCUUGGAGAUUUGAUCUCACAAGGCAUGUUUGGCUAGUGAGCAAAUAAGAGAAAAUGAAGGAAAGUAGAAAACUCUAUAGAGAGAAAAUCUGGAAAGAUUUACAAUUAGAAAAAUGUAAAAAAUCCUUAAAAUGAGUAAAUCAAUCUAUUUAUAGGUCAAGGUCAAGUGGAUACUUGGCAUUAUUUAAGAGGUCUUUUAGAGGCUUUUUCACCAAGAAAUCUGGAAAAAAUGCAAUUUCGCAUGAGCUCCAACAAUUUCGCUCGAUUGUGCGGAGUGGAAAAUGCAUCAACACCAAUUUCGCCUUCUUGGAGCAUUUCACAUGAUUGUGUGAAAUUUUCGCAUGGUCAUGCGAAAUCAGUUUUCAGUUUUCCCUUUGAGUUGCAGUCAAAUUUCCUUUUGGUCCAUUUCGCAAGACUGUGCGAAUUUUCCCCAUGUUCAUGCGAAAUGGAAAAACAUAGAUUUCAACUCCUUUUUGUCAUUUCUCCCAUUUCUUUCUUUUGAAUCCACCUCAACCACCUUCAAUUAAGCUCCAAAGCUUGGUCCAAGUGCAUUGCCUCUUCCCCAUCAUCCACAUUGUGUACCCUCCUCAAUUCCAUUUCUUUUUUGUCACUCAAUGCUUAAAAAAUCACUUCAAAAUAUCUCCAAAACUUCACAAAAACCACUAGUAUCUCUUGCAAGGGUAACAAUGUAUUACUUGGGCAUAUUAGACAUAAUUACUACUCAAAAGGUAUGAAACUCAUGAGAAUUAGUAUCUAAAAUGUGUGGUUUUUGAGUAGUAAUCAAGAAGCAACCGCACAGGAAAAGAAAAAAGGGAAAAAUGCAACAUGAGAAAACGACUAGGAGGGAGGAUUAGAGAAGACUUUUGGAAGAUGAUAUGUGGAGAGAUGUUUUAAAGAGGAGGAAGACUGGUCUUGAGAGAUAUUUUGGCCCAAGGUUUAAUGAUAUUGAGAUCGUGAGGUUAUGAGGAAUUCAAGCCAUGAUCGGAAGAAGAUUCAUGCCAUGUUUUAGAAGAGACUUAGGUCAUUUUUAGAAGGGUUUUAGGCUACAAUCUGGAAAGUUUUUGGUCAUAAUCUGGAUGUGCACUUCAGGUCGUGUUCGGGAGAGUAUUCAAUCCAUUUUCUAAGGCAGUUCAAGACGUAUUUUUAGUGAAGGAUAUCGUUGAAAGAUGAUGGAGAGGGGAGCAUGACGAUUAGGAGGUGAGUGAGAUUGAUUGGGAGAGAAGAGAGUUAGGCCGCACCAUAAGAGGCUUCGGGAGACACUACUACAUCAGGGAGCCACACCAUCAAAGGAGAUAGAAAAGGAGGACCGACUUCACUACUCAAGGGUUGGCUUGGCUCGAUCAUUCAUCGAUCACCAUAACAAGAAAACACUAGUAAGGUUGUAUUGAUCAUUGUCAAACCGAAAAUUCUAGAUUUCUAUUUACACUUUCAGCAUCAAUUACACGCUGCAACUUGGAGCAAGCAUAGCUAGCCGGUUUUGGCUCACCACAUCAUCCAUACGGUUGCCACUUUGAGAAGGAAGUAGUCCACACGCCAUUAGAGCCUUCACGGGUGGCACUUCUGGGCACCAUCUCCAUCUCUGUAAAGAGAACACACCACUCCUUUGAAGCAAGAUUCAGUAAGCAUCUCCAUGUAAGGAAAAUCACUCAUACGGUUGCCACUUUGGGAAGCAUACAACCCACACACCCAUUCGGCUAGGCAACCACGCACCAUUACAUGCUGCAACCUGGAGUACGCAUAGCCAACUAGUUUUGGCUCACCACAUCAUCCACACGACUGUCACUGGGAGUAGGAAGCAGUCCACGCACCAAUAGAGCCUUCACGGGUGGCACUUCAUGGCACCAUCUCCAUCCAUGUCAAGAGAACACACCACUCAUUUGAAGCAAGAUUCAACAAGCAUCCCCACGUAAGGAAAAUCACUCACACGACUACCGCUUUGGGAAACAUACAACCCACACACCUAUCCAACUGGGUAAGUUAUUAUUCUUUUAUAUUUUUUUUAAUUAGUCAACACAAUUAAUACCAUGUGUUAAAGAUUUUCUUGGAAUUUACUAUAGUACAUUUGUAAGUCAUCAUUAAAUUUGAGUUAUAUUUUAUUUAUCAAUGUGUUAUCUAUUUAUCCAUUCGGUAAUAAGAUUGAUUCUAUAGGUUAGAGAUUUAGUUUUAAAAAUUUGUUUUGGUUAGUUUUUAAUUUACCUUUAGGUUUAAGCCCUCUUAUAAAAUUUUAGUUCGUUAAAAUAAUUGAUCAUAUGUGUUAAGGAUUUGAUUUUAGAUUUGCCCUAAUUAGUGUUCAAUUCAUUUUAAGCUUAGAGUUCAUUUUAGUAAUGUAAGUUUAUUUAGAAAAUUGAUUCCAUGAAUUCGUAUUUUGUUUUUAAUUAUAUUUAUUUAUUUAUGUGUUAUCUAUUUAUCCAAUUUUAAAUAAAAUUGAUUCUAUAGGUUAGAGAUUUAGUUUUAAAAAUCUGUUUUGGUUAGUUUUUAAUUUAACUUUAGGUUUAAGCGCUCUUAUAAAAUUUUAAUUCGUUAAAAUAAUUGAUCAUAUGUGUUAAGGAUUUGAUUUUAGAUUUGCCUUAAUUAGUGUUUAAUUCAUUUUAAGCUUAGAUUUCAUUUUAGUAAUGUAAGUUUAUUUAGAAAAUUGAUUCCAUGAAUUCAUAUUUUUUUUUUUUUUUUAGUUUGCUUUCAUUUAAUUUGAUUCAUUUCAAUUAUUUUAGGUUGCUUUUAUAAUUUUAGGUCAUUAAAAAAAUCAAGUCUAUAUUUGAGAGUUCAUGCCUUUAGUUUACUUUGAUUUAGAUUCACUCAUCUAUUCAGUUUAGGUAUUUUUUAUAAUAUUAGUUCAUUAAUAAAAUUAAUUCUAUGAUUGAAAAUUCAUGUUUGCCUUGAUUUAGUUUGCUCCAUAUUAAUUAGUCUAGAUGUGUUUGCGUAUUUAAUUGAUCAUAUGCUAGUUCUUGAUUGCUAUUCUCAAUUGAUGUGCUUCUUGAAUACUAGUCAUUAAUUUUUGGUGAAUGUCUCAUUAGCUUAUUUGAUCUAAGUUCAAAUAGUUUAUUACUUUGAUAGUCUCUUGUAAAAUUUACUUUUCAGAGGCCAUCGGAAAAUAGUAAAGAUUGACCUCCAUUCUCACCACUUCAAUUUUCUCUAUUGUCAAAAAUUCUACAUUAUGAUUUUGUUCUCUUUUGUUUUGCUUGGUAUUUUGUUUCUUAUGUUCUGUUGUUUUCAAAUUAAUUUAUUUUAUUUUAAAAUAAAAAUACUUCUCUCAAAAGAUCCCUUUAAAAAUCUAUUUUUUUUAUAAAAAAAAUAUUCAUUUAGAGUCUUUUGAAUCAAAAUCUCAUUUUCUUAAAUAAUAUGCAACCAUGUUUUGAUCGGUUCGCAUCUUUCUCAGUUUUCAAUAAAAAUUAUGGUUUUAAGUAAGACACGAAUCCAAGCUUGUGGUCCAAAAUAAAUGGGAUAAUUCUAGGUUAGAUUUGUGUGUAUCAUUUGGGGAAUUGGUGAAACCCCUACAUAAAAUUAUUUUUAAAAAAACUCAUCUUUGCUGCCACAUUUGCUACUUGUUGCAAUCAUAUCUAUUUUUUUUAGGAAUUAUAUACAAGAUGUAUGUAAUAAUUUUUUAUUUCGUAUACUUUGAUAAUUUUUGCUAUGUUAAUUUGAUAACAAACAUGCUAGGAUUUCUUUAUUUUAUUAUUUAUUAUCUAACCCCUCAUGUCUUGUGGAAGCACGUUAUAAGUUACCUAUGCUAUUUAGGUAUAUUUCUUACCUUCGUAUCUUAAUUCCAUAAAUUAUGUAUUUGUUUUAUAUAUGAUUGUUAUGUAUUGCUUCGUAUGCGAUUCUCAACAUGUUCAACAUAUCUUUUUGAUUGUUUGUUUAGCUUGCCAUGUUUGAUUAAGAGACUAGGGUAAAACAAAUGUUGUGUGUUAUAUUUCUAUACUAACUUUGAUGUUUUGUGAUAGUGCUUGAGAAGUAGUUCAGGUACACACCCUAAAUCUCCUUUAUGAUUGUGAUUGGUUUUCUUGUUUGACAUGUUAUUUUUUGAAAUCACCUAGCCUACUUAGGUGUCUAUAAUCAACCAAUUAAUCGUCAUAUUUCCCUCAACUUAGUUAGUAGAGACCUUUAUAGGGCUUAGAGAGGUGCUACCUUUUAGAGGUACUUUCCUAAUAGAUAACCUAAUCCUCGGACCUAGACUCGGGUUUUUCAAAGACACGCUUUUCCAAAAAUUAUGGAGUCACCUUUUAGGGUUUUCUUUCUUAUUUUAUUUUCCAUUUUAAAAAAUAAAAUAAAAUAAGUGGCGACUCCAACUUUUCCAAAAUAAAUUUUUCAUCAACAAAAGUGAGUCUCGCUGAUCGAGUGGGGACGCACGUGAAAAAUAUGGGUCCACACCUGGACUGCUUCUUAAGCGCUAUCAUAAAACAUCAAUAGUUAGUUUGGAAAAUAAAGCACACAUGUAUUUUACUCUAGUAUCUUAAUCAAACAUGGCAAGCUAAACAAACAAUAAAAAAGAUAUGCUGAACAGGUUGAGAAUCGCAUAUGAGGCAAUACAUAACGAUCAUGUAUAAAACAAUAUAUAAUUUAUGGAAUUAAGAUAUGAAGGUAAGAAGCAUACCUGAAUAGCAUAGGUAACUUGUAACGUGCUUCUAUAAGACAUGAGGGGUUAGAUAAUAAAUAAUAAAAUAAAGAAAUCCUAGAAUGCUUGGUAUCUAAUUAGCAUAGCAAAAAUGACCAAAGUAUACGAAAUAAUCAAUUAUCACAUACAUUUUGUAUAUAAGUCCUAAAAAAAAAAAAAGAUAGAUAUGAUUACAACAAGUAGCAAAUGUGACAACAAAGAUGAGUUUUGAAAAAUUUUCUUAUGUAGGGGUUCCACCAAUUCCCCAAUUGAUAUACACAAAUCUAGCCUAGAAUUAUCCCAUUUAUUUGGGAACACAAACUUAGAUUCAUGUCUUACUCAAAACCAAAACUUUUAUUGAAAAUCGAUCAAAACAUGGUUGCAUAUUAUUUAAGAAAAUGAGAUUUCGAUUCUAAGGACACUAAAUGAAUUUUUGAAAUGCAUUUUAAUGAGGAACAUUUUGAGAAAAGGUUUCUUUUUAAAAGGAAAGAAAUAAUUUACAAACGACAAUACUCAAGGAUCAAACAUAGGCAACCCAGAAGAAAAUGAAAUCACAAAAUAAAACUUUAAACAACCAAGCCGACUAAAGUGGUGAGAGUAAGGCCAACCUUCAUGGGUUUCCAGUGGCUUUCAAAAAAAGGAUUUGACCAAUAGUCACUAAGGCAACAAACUAAUGGCUUUCAAAUCAAAUAAACUAACAAAAAUAUUAACCAAAACUAACAUAUAGAAUUCAAAAAAGCGCAUAAACUAAGAUAAAAACCAAUCAAGGAUUAAGACCAACAAACUUAACAUAUGGAGAUAAUAACAUGGGAUCAAUUAAAGUAAAUUAACACUCAAACAAAAUAUGAUGAGUCAAAAACCAAAGUUUAACGAACUUGAAAAUAUGAAAACAAUAAUAGGUAAUUAACUAGAUUGAUUAGCUAAAAUUCCAGAAAGCUCAAACUAAAUAUUAAUAGAUCAAAAUUAAAAUUACUAAACUUAAAACACGAAAACAAUAAUAUGUGAUUAACUAAAUUAACUAACUAAAAUUGUAAUCAACUAGAAAAUUGAAUAUUAAUGGAUUAAAAUCAGAAUUAACAAAAUCGGAAACACAUAAACACAAACACGAGAUACACUAAAUUAAUUGACUAAACAUUCCUAAACAAAUUUUUAUUUUUUAUUCACUCAACAAGAAUUAAAUAAAAAAAUAUCUAACUUACCUUUUUCAAUAAUGCAUGGGGGCUGCUUCGAAGUCCAAAGGUGCAGGCCGUUUUCCUCUCCAAAGUGGAUGACGAUUAGUUCUUUCCAUUUUUUUUUAUGAUAAAUGCGUGCUGCUCCUCCUUUUGACUCAUGGAGAAAUUCCCUUUGUGCCAAACUUAUAUUCGCAUGUGUACAUUGCACAUCUCCAUUCCUAGGCAUUGGCAACACCCACAACGUCGCAUUCUUGAACUCAAAACCACAGUAGGUUGGCGGCUUGUAGCAACUCGACUGGAUUGCAGACAGAUUCUUCCUAUAGAAUGCAACAACAUUGUCAUUUAUCUCUUUCUUGAGACGACUGCAAAUGUCAGUAUCCAUCAAACAACUCUUGAUCCGACCCCAAUUCUUGUCAUUCGCCAAAUGAUUCUGGAGCUAGUUAGAGUAAUCCCCAAGUUUGUACUCCUUAUACCCUCAGUUCGAUAUCACUUGACCCACGCCCUUGUUGGUGACCACGAGCAUGAAUAUGGUGAAGCACAAGAGCCCCAUAAUCAUAAAAAAAUUACAAAUAGGUAUAUCCACAACAGGAAGCUGACCUUGCACGUUGACCCGACCAAUUCGCACAAUGAAACCAUAAACAGAAACGCACCCAACACCAGAAGCGGUGUUUGUAGAAACUUCUGGCAGUGGGUUUCGCCAAGAAUGUGAAAAUAAAUGCCGACGGCCAGGGAGGCGACAACGAUGAGCAUGGUGAGGAUGUUGAGGAUUGCGAUCAAAACGUUGCUAAAAUGCACCAUCUUUUAUGAAUUUCCUAUGUGAUUCUUUUGCGUUUUUGUCACCGAAAUUUUUAGCGAUGCUCCCCUGGAAGAAAAAUCUUUGAUGACUGAUCCCCUAUCAAUGGAAGGGAAGUCCACCUGGUCAUGUGCUCGUCUCCUCCAAGAUCAACAAUGGCGCGGUUGUUUGUGAGGUAUUGUGGGUUGUUCCCUCUUUUACCAUGUGCAUGUAGAUGGAGAAGAAAAAUUUCUGUUGAUAGCGUGUUCCUAGAGAAAAAUCCUUCAUUUCGUUAUACGUGAUGUCCUCUUCUCAUCAAUAUUCUAGUACAUAGUGUUCAUCCAUAAAAUUUCUAAGAGGAAAGUCUGACUUGCUAGUAGUUUAUUCUCUACAUAAAAUCUAUUAGUGUUCCUCCAAAAACCUAAUACUCUCCACCAUUAAUAGACCGACCACUCAUCAAACAUGCCUAUGCACAAUAUGAUUUUCUCUGUAAAUAAUCCUGUUAUUCUCUACCAUUAACAACCUUGCACUCCUUUUCUCCUUAUUUUGGUGGUGCAUGAUGGAUUCGAAUUUCAAUGGUGCGUGUUUAAGAUUUUUGCAGGCGACUCCCAUUGAUAAUACGUGAUAUCAUCUCCUAAUCAAUAGGGUCUUCGUCAACAUGGAUGACUCCCCUCUUUUCUUCUUUCUCCAAUUUUUCCCCCCAAAAAACAAUUCUCAAAUUUUCAAACUCCUCUCAAAACCUUCCAAGGAGAGUCCCACUUUCCUUAAAUUCCAAUGGUAAGUUUCCUUGCAAAAGCAUGAAGUUUAUUAAAUUAAAUAAUUGAAUGAACAAAUAAAUAAGUAAAUAAAUUAGAAAAGAUAAAACAAUAAUAAAUAAAUAAGUUAAUUAAAAAAAUAAGAAAAUAAUAUAAAAAAGAAGAUAACUAAUAAAAAUAAACAAGUGAUUGAUAAUAAUAAUAAUAAAAAUAAAUAAAUAAAUAAAUAAAAACUAAGCCACACAAACCAUGCAACAAUGCAAGUCAUACAAGUCACGCUAAAAAUGUCUAAUAGGACCAGUGUGCCUAAGUGGACCUAGUGAGUCUUAAGGGGCUUAGGGAUGUCCAAAUGGGUCUAAGUAACCUAAAUGAGCCUAAGUGAACCUAGAUGGACCUAAGGUGGUACUUAAUGGGCCAAGUGUACCUAAGUGAGCCUAAGGUGUUUUAGACAGUGCCUAAGUCUAAAUUAGGGCUGCCAAGGGUCAUAAUGAGGUUAAAUAAAUUUCUCAAUCAGAGUUUCCAAAGUGGCUCAUAAAAGAUAAGCUAUAUGAGUAAUAAUGGGCUAGUAGAGAAUUGUUGUAAAGUACUAAAUGAACACAGAAUAGGACAUGUCCUAGAAGGACAAAAUGGAGGGUCUAUAGUGGUGUUGAUGCUAGAAUGGAUAGUAGAAAUACCAGUGCCUCCCAUUGAGACUUCUUUCUUUACUGCUCCAUUUGAGAUAGUUUACCCCCCUAUGCCUUGGAGCCUUGGGGCCUUGGGGCCUUGGAUCCAUGGAGCCUUGGAGCCGUGGAGCUGUGGAGCCUUGGACCUAGUUAUCACUCAUUCAAAAACCCAGUGAUGGAUAUUUUGAACUCCUGUUAUUUCUUCUUUUUAGUUGUAAAAGUAUAAAAAGUGUUAUCUUAUGAAGACUCUCUACGGUCCAUUUUUUUUAAAUGUAGUCUCCACUCAUGUACUUAAACUGAAUGAGUAGGGAUGCCAAGUAAAUCUAUUAGUUUGGAAUGUCGCACAGAUUUGAUCAAACUUCAACAUAUUUAACAUUCGACAAACAAAACAUAACCUAAUACCAAUAAAGAAAAACCGACGACAUAAUUGAGAAGCUAGAUAAGAGAAUCUAUUUUUCAUCAACAACUAAAAAUAAUUAAUUUAACCCUAAAAAUCUUUAGUUUGCUUCAACCUUAAAUAGACUUAACAAGUUUAAGAGUUGUUGUCACUAUGCCGCCCUAAGAAAUAUGAUAUCUUUUGGAGCAAGAUUUCUCAAUAACCCUUCUUUAGCUUGUCACUCAUUUGCUGCAAGGUCUGGUGCCAACUAUAGCUUUUGAGGGUAAUAAUUAGUUCUUGUCCAUCCAAAUACAUUUCCUUGCUAUGCUACCAAGUGCGUGAGUCUUUCCCUAAUGAUAUUGCAAGUUCUUGCAUUCCUCGUAUCUGGCUUCUUGUCUAGAUCAUCUCACAAUAAUGAGAUUGAUCCCAUCUGAAGUGAACUCGAAAAACUCUGUAUAUUAGAUAAUGCGAGCAAUUCAAAUUUAAGACUUUGACAUGAGAUCCAUCCUUUUAGAGACACGAGUCUUGGUAUCUUUUAAAGACAAAUCUCGUUUACUAGUAAAUACAAAAUCUAGACAAAACUCGUCUAUAAGAAAAUACAAAACUUGGUUCAUGAAAAACAUAAGAAUAUAUAUAUUUUUAUUAUUGUUAUUGAUUCUCCACCAAAAACAUUACAUAUGACAUAAUAAAACCCUAUAUAAAUAACUGAAUAUGGAACUAGAGUUUUUUCAAAGACACAACACUUGACAUUUUUUGUGGGAAUCAAGAAGCAAAAGCAUGGUUUAAAUAAUGAUUUCAAGAGAACAAUGAGAAAAUAUUCCAAUGAUAGGGAAUAACAAUUAUUGCAACUUGAGAGAAGAUUGGAUGAGUAACAAAGGGAACAUGAGAAGCGAAUUGAAAGAGCUCUAGUUAGCUUUGAAAACUUGUCAUAGGAAAACUAGAUUCUACAAGUAACAACUAUGAUUGGCAAUACACCCUGAUUCUUGUAUAAUUCGUGGACCCUCAACCUUUUUUUUAUUAGCUACACUCAUUGAAGAGCACACUAGAGCAACCAAGUUGACUUGUAUACCCAAACUAGACUUUAGACCAAAGCAAUCAAUUCCACCACUGAGUGACAAAAGUUUGUAUUUGAACACCGAGUAAGCUAGUGAUAGUUCCACAUGAACCAUUUUGCAUAUCCUAGAUUGCAAGUCAAUUAAUAUAUUUGAAUGAGAUGAUCAAACAUGUAGUAUGACGUUCAAAAUAUUAGAUGACAUGGUUGCAACAACAUAUGUGUUUUGGUAUUUUUUUUCAAUGAUCCUUCCUGAUAAGUGUUGCAAAGAAAGAGAAAGAAAAGAAAAAAGAGAAAUUUACAAAACAAUUUCAUGCCUUACCCUUUCAUUCAAUACUAUGAUAUUUUCAUAUUUAUACAUAGUUUUGACAAUUGUAAAAUAUUCAUUUUCUAACAAACAUAUAACACCUUAACAACUCUAAAUGUUCCCUACUUAUCCUACAUACAACACCUAUUUAGGAGUUUCUUAAAGUGGGUUUCAUGUAACUUUGUUACUGCAUGUGAUCUUCAGUUAAAGACGCUGAAAACAUCCCUUUGACAUGCCCCUUCAAGCUAAAUGUGGACUCUUUUGAAACGGUUGUUAAGGAACCAUUUUCGACUUUGUCUUGGAUGGAUAUGUUAUGCCCCUUCAAAUGUGAAAGAGAGGUUGCAUGAAGUUUGUUGCGAAAAUACUAGUAGUGUUGGACAUGGAGUAGUUUAGUGAUUAUAUUUACCACUUGCUCAAGAGAGGGAACAUGUUGAAUGGAGAGUUGACGUAUGGUUUAAGACCUUUUCAUGAAUGAAAUGAACGCCAAGCUCGAUAUGUUUUGUGUGAGCACGGAACACAGGAUUGUUGGCAAAGGCAAUAACACCAUGGUUAUCACACCACAAUACUGGAGGGUGUGGAGGAGAAAUAUGGAGCUUUUCAAGUAAGGAUUGAACCUAGGUGAGUGCUACUGUUGUAGUUGCAAUACAACGAUAUUUAGUCUUUGUAGAAGAAUGGGAAACUGUGGUUUACUUCUUAGCACUCCAAGUGAUAAGGUUGGACCCCAAGAACACAUAAUAUCCACUAGUUGAUUUGCAGUCAUCAAUAUUGGAAGCCCAAUCUGCAUUAGAGAAUGCUAUUAAUUUGAGAGAAGAAUGUUAGUUAAAGAGGAGUCUAUGAUCAUUGGUGCCUCUUAAGUAACGAAUGAUGCAUUUCACGGCUUUCCAAUAGGGUUCUAGGGGGUGUUGCAUGAAUUGAGAAAACCGGUUGACAACAUAUGUGAUCUUUGGACGAGUAAUGCUGGCGUAUUGAAGGCUGCCAACAAUGCAACAAUAGAGGUAAGGAUCUUCAAAAAGAGUCCCGACAUAUGCUAAAAGAGAGACGUCGUUAACUAUGGAUGUCGGUGUUGGCUUAGCUCCAUCCAUACGAGCUUUUUGAAGGAUUUCAGUGAUGUAUUUGUGUUGUGAUAAAAGAACACCUUGAAGAGUGUUAUUUAGUUCAUGUCCAAGGAAAUAGGAUGGGUUGCCAAGUUUUUUCAAGCCAAACAAAGCUUGUAGUUGAUGGACAAAUUGCUGCACUUAAGUGGGAGAGCUUUCUGUGGUGAGAACAUCAUCCACAUAGAUAAGUAUAUAGAGAGAGUGACUAGCCUCAAACUUAAGGGAAGAAAGCUAUCAACUUUGGAAGAAUGAGAACCAAGUUGAUGUAGUAGCAAGUGGAGACGUUCAAACUAUGCCCUAGGGUCUUGCUUAAGGCCAUACAAAGCACGAUGAAGCUUGCAGACCCAAUGAGGAUGAGUAGUGUUAAUGAAGCCAGGAAGUUAGGUCAUUUAGAUGUUUUCCUUGAAAAUGCCAUUGAGCAAUGCAUUGUUAAAAUCAAGUUGUCUCAUAGCCUAGUUAUUGGAGAUGGUAAGAGUGAGCACCACUUGAAUGGUAGUAGGUUUGAUGACAGGACUAUAGGUAUCAUGAAAAUCGAAACCCGGAACCUGGUGGAACUCUUUGGCCACCAGCCUGGCCUUAUACUUGUUCACAGAACCAUUAGAGUUGUGUUUGUUGGGAACCUUGGAUUACUCCGUUCCCAUGCCUUGGAUUGUGUAGGGUGCAUACAAAUUUAUCAUAAUCUCUCCAAAUCUAUCACAACGGAUAAACAUGUAUUCAAAAUAAUAUAAAUACCAUAGAAAACAUAGAUCUAGAGAAUAAAGCCACAUACAUUUGAUUUAGAUGUUCCCAUAUCAAUUCCAAUUGAUGUAGAUAACUCUAAAGUCAUAAUGGAUCUCGCAAACACCAUGAUCUUCUAUCCGUUGACUUUUCCUUGUGUCUAGCCACUGAGAUAGUAGAGAUCUCAAGGAUGGAGGUUAGGGUUCUCUCUCUAGACUGAAGGGAAGAAUGACAAGAUUUGGAAACCCUAACCCCUAAAGGGUUAUUUAUAGGUUUCCUAUUAGGCUUAUGGGUAACUUAAUCUAGGUUCAAAAGGUUGUUAAUUGAUUAAUUAACCAUACAAGACCUAAUUAAUUAACUAAUCUAGUCCAGAGAUACCAUUCACUUAUCCUUGUGUAACAUUGUGUACAUUUCGCCUAGAUGAGCAUUUCAUCUUGUUGAAGAAUAAUCUUGUAAACAUUUUAAUACGAUUAAUGUAUUCAUUGUCAGCCUAAUAAAAUUAUUUAUUUUUAUUAUUAUUCUUUAUUAAUUGUUAUUGUAAUUUAUUUAUUUAUUAUAUAUUAUUAUUCACUAAUGAUUCAGAUUUUCUUUUCAAUGGGCACAGACAAGUAGGAAGAAAUAGAGAGAGAAACAAGAUGCAACCCGCCAAAGAUGAGAAUCAAGAAAAACUCCUAAGCAAUCCUCUUUCAAGCAAAGAACAAUUAUUUAUUUAUUUAUUAUUAUUAUUAGUAUUAUUUGUUUCCAACAGUGACCUAACAGGCAAGCAUACCUGCCAUGGCAAAGGAAUGAUCACUAAGGACAUAAAAAACAUAGACUUCACACAUACAAAAAAGACAUGCGAUCUUAUGCACUCUAGUUAUGAGUAAGAGAACACAGUUCACCGACUCUGAGACCCCGCUAGUUCCAAGUCUCUAUUUAUUCUUUCGGUUGUAUCCCUUUCUGUUGAGAUAUUAGGAAUGCUUUCCUUAUAUCAUUCUUUCCUUAUAUCAUUUAGUGUUGAGAUAUUAGGAAUGUUUAGAUAUUAGGAAAGUUGAGAUAUUAGGAAUAUUGAGAUACUAGGAAUAUUGAGAUAUUAGGAAUAUUGAGAUAUUAGGAAAGUUGAGAUAUUAGGAUAUUAGUUGUUAUUUCGUUAUAUCAUUCUUUCCUUGUAUCAUUCUUUCCCAUUCUUAGAAUGGUGAUUACCCUCUAUAUAUACUCUGUACAUAAACGAAUGAAAGUAUGAAUGAAAAAAACUACCAUUUAUCAAUUUGAAGAUGGUAUUAGAGCCAUGGAACUGAAAUCUUGGAUAUUUUGUUGCUAUGGUAGUCCGACAGCGAUCAACUAUCCUAAGACAAGCCCUAAUAUUGAUAAGUCAACCUUCAAAUGCACUCACUUCAAUAAGACUGGUCCCACCAGUCUGGAUAUCCCACAAUUUCAAAGCAACGACUCUUGGUAUGACCAGGAAAACAAUAAGGAACUGAGGGUUUGAACCAUGGACCUUUAGAUCAUGUUUAGGCUAUCAACACUUUGUUAUUAAUUAUAAUAAUCGUGAUCAACGGAAAAAGAAUCCCAAGAAAACCUCGACUGCAACUGUUGCCGAAAUAAAAACAGAGGCUAAUGUUGCUGAGAAAGCCUCUACAUUGGUAGCCGCUACUGAUCAUGGUGGUAAGUUUUUAAAUACUUUUACACCUGUUAUUAAUAGUGCAUGGAUAAUUGAUUCUGGUGCUACAAAUCAUAUGACUUUUGAUUCUAGACAGGUUUCACCCCUUAGACCUUCUUCACAAAAAAUUGUUUCCACAGCCAAUGGUAACACAACCCCAAUCAUUGGGGAAGGAUCCUUAACUCUUACUGAUACUUUGAAUUUGGAUUCUGUUUUAGUUGUUCCAUUUUUAGAUUACAAUCUUUUGUCAGUUUCUCAAAUCACUACAGCCUUAUCUUGUAUUGUCAUUUUUUGGCCUGAAUUUUGUGUGAUUAAGGACAUCCAAACAAGACAGACGAUUGGUUGUGGUAUUAAACGGGGAAAACUCUAUUACUUGGACUUGCAAUCAAAGGAUUCAAAUAAGUUGCAACAAGCCUUGAUGGCAGAUGGAUCUGAAGGGGAGAAGAAAAAGUUUGAAAUUUGGUUGUGGCAUCGACGUCUGGGAUAUGCUUCCUUUGGUUAUUUAAAAAAAUUGUUUCCUAGUUUGUUUGCAAAGAGUAAUAUUUCUGGUUUCCGUUGUGAUAUUUGUGAAUUGGCUAAAAACCAUCGUGCUUCGUUUCCAUUAAUUUUGAAUAAAAGUCCGUUUCCUUUUAUGGUUAAACAUUCUGAUGUUUGGGGCCCAUCCAAAGUCCCAACUUUGAGUGGCUCACAUUGGUUUGUUACUUUUAUUGAUGAUUGUACCAGAAUGACAUGGUUAUGCUUGAUGAAGACCAAAGAUGAAGUGAACUUGUUGUUUCAAAAAUUUCAUAAAAUGAUUGAAACUCAGUACAAUGCAAAGGUUCGGGUUCUGCGUAGUGAUAAUGGUGGAGAAUAUCAAAGUUCUAAUCUUCAAAAGUAUUUGGAAGGACAUGACAUCAUUCAUCAGACUACUUGUUCCAAUACACCCCAACAAAAUGGAGUCGUUGAACGAAAAAAUCGACACUUGUUAGAGGUUGUUCGUGCUUCCUUGAUAGCAGCAAAAACACCGAUAUCUUAUUGGGGAGAAGCAAUCACAUCUGCCGCAUACUUGAUCAAUCGGGUACCUUCUAGCUCAAUUAACUUUCAAACACCUCUCCAAGCUCUUACUAAUGUCGUAGUUGCCCCAACCAUCCCAAAUCUACCUCCUCGUGUUUUUGGUUGCAUGGCAUUUGUGCAUCUACACAAGCACCAACGCACCAAGUUAACUUCUCAUGCAUUGCAAUGUGUGUUUGUUGGAUAUGCAUUGCACAAAAAGGGAUAUCGAUGUUACCAUCCUUCAACUCGACAAAUGUAUAUUACAAUGGAUNNNNNNNNNNNNNNNNNNNNNNNNNNNNNNNNNNNNNNNNNNNNNNNNNNNNNNNNNNNNNNNNNNNNNNNNNNNNNNNNNNNNNNNNNNNNNNNNNNNNNNNNNNNNNNNNNNNNNNNNNNNNNNNNNNNNNNNNNNNNNNNNNNNNNNNNNNNNNNNNNNNNNNNNNNNNNNNNNNNNNNNNNNNNNNNNNNNNNNNNNNNNNNNNNNNNNNNNNNNNNNNNNNNNNNNNNNNNNNNNNNNNNNNNNNNNNNNNNNNNNNNNNNNNNNNNNNNNNNNNNNNNNNNNNNNNNNNNNNNNNNNNNNNNNNNNNNNNNNNNNNNNNNNNNNNNNNNNNNNNNNNNNNNNNNNNNNNNNNNNNNNNNNNNNNNNNNNNNNNNNNNNNNNNNNNNNNNNNNNNNNNNNNNNNNNNNNNNNNNNNNNNNNNNNNNNNNNNNNNNNNNNNNNNNNNNNNNNNNNNNNNNNNNNNNNNNNNNNNNNNNNNNNNNNNNNNNNNNNNNNNNNNNNNNNNNNNNNNNNNNNNNNNNNNNNNNNNNNNNNNNNNNNNNNNNNNNNNNNNNNNNNNNNNNNNNNNNNNNNNNNNNNNNNNNNNNNNNNNNNNNNNNNNNNNNNNNNNNNNNNNNNNNNNNNNNNNNNNNNNNNNNNNNNNNNNNNNNNNNNNNNNNNNNNNNNNNNNNNNNNNNNNNNNNNNNNNNNNNNNNNNNNNNNNNNNNNNNNNNNNNNNNNNNNNNNNNNNNNNNNNNNNNNNNNNNNNNNNNNNNNNNNNNNNNNNNNNNNNNNNNNNNNNNNNNNNNNNNNNNNNNNNNNNNNNNNNNNNNNNNNNAUCAAUUAUCUACUGUAUCUAUUCCUAACAGUGUGCAGGAAGCCUUAGCUGAUCCAAGGUGGAAAGCAGCCAUGAAUGAAGAGAUGAAAUCAUUGCAGAAGAAUGAAACAUGGGAACUCGUAGAAUGUCCACCAGAAAAGAAGUCAGUUGGGUGUCGUUGGAUCUAUACUGUGAAGUACAAGGCAGAUGGUAGUAUUGAACGAUUUAAAGCAAGACUGGUAGCAAAAGGGUACACUCAAACUUAUGGAAUUGACUACACAGAGACAUUUGCACCUGUAGCUAAGAUCAACACAAUUCGAGUAUUAUUGUCUUUAGCUGCAAACCUAGAUUGGCCAUUACAACAAUUCGAUGUGAAAAAUGCCUUUCUGCAUGGCGAGUUAUCUGAAGAAGUAUAUAUGGAUCUUCCACCAGGAUGCAUGGUGUCAGAAAAGCAAUGUCAGAAGGUGUGCAAAUUGAAGAAGUCAUUGUAUGGGUUGAAGCAAUCCCCGAGAGCAUGGUUUGGAAGGUUCACAAAGUCAAUGAGAGCUUUUGGCUAUCGUCAAAGUAAUUCAGAUCACACUUUAUUCCUAAAAAAGCAACAUGGUAAGAUUACGGCACUCAUCGUGUAUGUGGAUGACAUGGUAGUUACAGGAAAUGAUCCUGAAGAAAGAAAAGCUCUGCAAAAUUAUCUAUCUAGAGAAUUCGAAAUGNNNNNNNNNNNNNNNNNNNNNNNNNNNNNNNNNNNNNNNNNNNNNNNNNNNNNNNNNNNNNNNNNNNNNNNNNNNNNNNNNNNNNNNNNNNNNNNNNNNNGAAAAGCUCUGCAAAAUUAUCUAUCUAGAGAAUUCGAAAUGAUAUGAUCUAGGUCUUCUGAAAUACUUUCUUGGGAUUGAAGUUUCUCGAUCAAGUAAAGGAAUUUUUCUGUCUCAAAGAAAGUAUGCCUUAGAUCUUUUACAGGAGACUGGAAUGUCGGGAUGUCAACCUGUUAAUACACCGAUAGAAGAAGGUCUGAAAUUGUGUGUUGAACCUAAUCAAGUAUCAACCGAUAAGGGAAGAUACCAGAGACUUGUGGGGAGAUUAAUGUACUUAGCUCAUACAAGAUCAGAUCUUGCUUAUGCAUUGAGUGUAGUGAGUCAAUACAUGCAUAAUCCUGGAGAGCAACAUAUGAAUGCAGUCAUGCGUAUUUUGAGGUAUUUGAAGAAUGCUCCUGGGAAGGGAAUUUUGUUCGCUAAAAAUGUUGAUCAUCAGAGUAUAGAAGUAUAUACUGAUGCUGAUUGGGCCGGUGCAGUGGAUGAUAGGCGAUCUACAUCUGGUUACUUUACCUUUGUAGGUGGUAAUCUUGUGACAUGGAAAAGUAAGAAGCAGAAUGUCGUCGCUCGUUCAAGUGCAGAAGCGGAAUUUAGAGGUAUGACUUUAGGACUUUGUGAGGCAUUAUGGCUAAGACUCCUCUUACAGGAUUUAGGUUACCUAUCUAGGUAACCAAUCCGAUUGUUUUGUGACAAUAAAGCCGCAUGUGACAUUGCUCAUAAUCCAGUACAACAUGAUCGUACAAAGCAUGUCGAGGUGGAUAGAUUCUUCAUUAAGGAAAAGUUGGAUGAUAAGAUUGUGGAAUUGCCUAAGAUUCGAUCAGAAGAUCAAUUGGCCGAUAUCCUUACCAAAGCUGUCUCAAGUCAAGUGUUCUCAAAAUUUUUAGACAAGUUGGGCAUGUGUGACAUCUAUGCACCAACUUGAGGGGAAGUGUUGAGAUAUUAGGAAUGCUUUCCUUAUAUCAUUCUUUCCUUAUAUCAUUUAGUGUUGAGAUAUUUGGAAUGUUUAGAUAUUAGGAAAGUUGAGAUAUUAUGAAUAUUGAGAUAUUAGAAAUAUUGAGAUACUAGGAAUAUUGAGAUACUAGGAAUAUUGAGAUAUUAGGAAAGUUGAGAUAUUAGGAUAUUAGUUGUUAUUUCCUUAUAUCAUUCUUUCCCAUUCUUAGAAUGGUGAUUACCCUCUAUAUAUACUCUGUACAUGAACGAAUGAAAGUAUGAAUGAAAAAAACUACCAUUUAUCAAUUUGAAGACUUUCUUGGUAUGAGCCACGGGAGGGUUCUCCACCUUUGUCGGUAAUGUCAAUGCUGUUGUUGGAGUUUUAAUUUUUUUCCUCAUCUUUAGGUGGUUCCGUAGAGUUCUGAUCAACAACCUCUUUAUUAUUCUCUCCUACUCUAUCUUUCUCUUCCUUUUCUAGUGUCCUUUUUAUCGUCACCAUCAACUCUGCAUCUACAUCUGCAUCAUUGAUUUUCUUUAUAUUACAACAAAGCUUUUAUCAAUGAUGACCCGACUCUAAUCUGAUCCUUGCCAGCAAUUGACUAUUUCAAAACAACAAAUAGGCGUUUGUACAACUAAGAUUCAUCGAUCAAAACAUAGAUUGAGAGGAGAUCCAUACAACUUUUAAAGCAGAAGCUGAAAAGGUAACAAAUAUGUCAACCAUGGAAGCAAACUCUAUUGAAGUGAACAAGUAAAGAUGCACUUGAUAAAAAGUCAUUUUCUAGUCUAGAUUUCUGUAAAAUGGCACUAGGACCUUCUAGAGAGUAUCGGGACACAUUGCAGCCAGGGUAAGAUGAAUUUCGACAAUUUUGCUCUAGAUUCUUGACGACAGCAGUAGGAGUGGCCUUCAGGUAGGAUAAAAUGUUGAACGCUGUGGGGCAACUGAGGAACGUAAUUUGGUGGGAUUUCCACAGCAUGUUAAUGCCAUCUUCAUCCUCAUGUCCUUCAAUUGCUUUGACUACUGUAGUUGCUGUUCGGAAGUCUAGGAUGAAUCAUUCGUAGAGCUUGGUGAGACACCACCAUUAUGUGACGGGGAUAUGGCUUUUUGCUCGGAAAUCCCCACAGAUGGCGCCAAAUGUUCUGGUAUUUUUUUAAUGGUCCUUCCUUAUGAGCCGUUUAAUCUAUUUAUAGCUUUGCUAGUCCUUGACACGUGUAUAUCCUUGGGAGAUGUGUGUGGUAACAAAAAAAUAUUCUCUCUUUGUAACGAGUAUUAGCUCUAACUCUCAUUUUCUCACUAAUACAGCUCCUUGGUUUCGUGAACCUUUUUCCAAUACAAUAUGCUUCUCAGAUUUUGAGAGAAGAGGCUUCACAAUAUUUUUUGAUGCCCAAAUUCAAUAUGUAUGAUGAGAGGAGUAGAUGUAUACGAAGAUUUGAGGUCAUCUAAAUAUAGUGUUGCAACAUCUUGCUGGUGGUGGGUGAGGAAACCAAAUGUGGUUCUAAAGCCGAAAAACCAAUUAAAUAGCAGUCAAUGCAUGACUCCUAUAUGCUUAAUGAAUGAAAACCCCUUGUCAUUGAGGUGUUUGCAGUCUUAUCCUUUGUUUGUUUUAGAUACACAUAAAAAAAUGUUGCUUGAUGCUCAUCUAUCUUCAUAUGAAAUUGAGAUGUUAUUAACUUUACUCCAAACCAAGACGAAAAGUCCAAACAAAACGAAAUGUCUACUAAGGUGAAUUGCCUGAUUAAAGUGAAAUGUUUACCAAUGCUAAAUGCUUAGUUAAGACAAAAUGUUCCACCAAGAUGAAAUGUCCUAUCAAGACGAAAUGUUCCAUUAAAGCAAAAUGAUCAAACAAGUGAAAUGGCCAAUUAAAGCAAAAUAUUCCACUAAGAUGAAAUGUCCACCAAGGCGAUAUGCCUAAUCAAGGUGAAAUGCCUGCCAUUUUCAAAAUGUUCAUUAAUCAAGAUGAAAUGACUCACCAGGACGAAAUCCCUACUUAAGGUCAAAGGCACAACAAAGAAUUUGAGGGAGAUUGUGUACUUUCAAAUUUGAAGUAGACCCAUUUAAAGUCAAAAAGCUCAAAGAAAAAUCAAAUGACCAUCAUAUGCUUCCUAUAGUCAUGCACGCAUUCUGAUCAUGGUUUUCACCUAAAAACAAAAUGUUAAGGCAUUAUAAAAUACUUAAAAGUCACAUAAACCAUCCUUAGAAAGAAUUGUUAAUCAUGAGUUUUGAGAAACUCUAUAAAUAAACUAAAAAUAAAAUAUAAGGAUUGAUUUAGCCCAAAAAUGAAGAUUCGAGUUCUUAACAUAGAAAAAGAGUAAAAGACUUGUAUUCCUAAUAGCAUAAGCUAGACGGUCGUCUAUCUAAGAACACAAAAGUCCAAUGGGUAGGUUUAUCAUUGGUCAUAGUCCUUAUACCAAAUGGUAUCAUAAUGUAGGGAACCCUCUCAGGGGCAAGUAGCUUCACUUGUAGCUAUCAUAAGAUAGCAAGCUUAAUAAUUUUUUUUUUCACCUAUAAACUCUUUAGAGAUGAGCAUAUAGGUGAUAAAAGGAGAGUAAAUAAAGGAACCAAGUUUAGAACUCAUGUUUCCAUGAACACGAGAUGAGGAAGCUCAUCUUCUUUAGUUUGAAGCCUUAAAAUACGAACUUUAGGAUUGAUUUUUAAGUGUCAAAUGCCAUGGAGGAGGCAAUUUGUAUUGGUACGAACAUGAGCAUUAUGUUUGUUCGUUUCGUUUUGAAAAGAACACAAGCUAAACCUUGAGUUCCCAAUGAAAACCAACUUUAUGGUUGAAUGAUGAGACAACAUGUGACAAAAAGUAAUAUUAUAUAAUGAUAAAUCUAUGAUAGAAGAGAGACUUGUUUCUAGUCACAACAAUUGAAAAACUUAAUAAUAUACUAAAAAUUGGUUCGUCUCAAUGGCAAAAAUAGUAAAGAAAUAAAUAAAAGAAAGUCCUCAAAAUGAAGCCUUGAGUUCUUAAAAACAUGAAAAUGAUGUAAAAAAAAAUUAGCUACAUUCUCCUGAUUACGUGGUGUUAUGUAGCAAUGCAUCCACUAAGGGGCAUACAAAAAGAAAACACCUAAAGAUAAAAGGCCUGUUUGGAAAGUGUUCUUGAAAACUGUUUUUUGUUUUCUAGAACAGAAAAACACUUAAAACAUGUUUGGUAAGGAAGAAUGUUUUUGUUCUCCGUGUUUUCCAUGUUCUCAAAACCCUAUUUUCUGAUAACAACUUCAAGUUGUUUUCCCUGUUUUUUGCACCAUUUAGAGGAAAAAAAGGUGGUUGUUCUCCGUGUUUUCAAAAGGGUGUUCUCCUUGUUCUCGUGUCUUCCCUUCUCAGGUUGAUGUUGCUAGGUCUGAAAACGUGUUAGCCUUAACCCUCUAAAAUCAAACCCAAUUUGCUAGUUCUGGGAGUAGAGAAAAAGUAAUUUAAAGGCUUUCCCAUUGAAUUUUUCACCCCUCGAUUGCAGCUACGAUAGCCACGACCACUGCAAUCACAUGGCCUUUGCUUAGCGAUGGCAACAGCGGAGACAUCAUCAUUCACUGGUGCAACACCACCCCCACUGUCGGCAUUGACGGAAGCUGCAACCUUUCGUUGGGUUUGUGGCGAUGCGAUUUCUUGGUUCGUGGGUUUUCGGAAGAUCCAUCUCUGUUUCUCUCUCUUCUACGCAAAACCCAGCAAACACCACUAUUACAUCCAUUUACCCACCAAUUCAAACAGACCAAAAAACAAAAUAAAUUCAAAAUUUUCAACAAGAAAAAAUCUCAAACCUUUUCUUCGUCUUCCUCCCGGUCAUGUUCCUCUCUUCUUUUACCACCUCUCUUAUCAGUCUCUUUGGUAGGAGAUCUGAAAGCUCUUGUUUUUCUAUGUUUUUUUUUUUUUUUUUUUGUGCUUUCUUAACUGCUUUUUAUGUUUCCACAAAGCUGACCUCCACCCAACCACCACACUCCCACCCACCAACCCUUUCUUCUUUCUUAAAUUAUUGAAAUUAAUAUACUUACACAUGGUUACAAAGUCAUCAUUUGUUUAAGAAAAUUAUAACUAGUAUAAAAAUUUCAAAAUAGAAUAUUUUUUUUUAAUUUAAAUAAAUUAUGCAUAUGAAAAUUAUUUACAUAUUUAUAAUAUCAAAUUAAUGGAAGAAAACACUUUAUUAAUUAAAAAAAUAACUUUUAAACAUGUUUUUAUUUAUUCUAAUUUUUUUUAUUAACUCAACCAAACAUGUUUUUUUGUUUUUGAGAACAAAAACUGUUUUUCAAAAUUUAGUUUCUAAACACAAUUUUUUUUUUAAUUCUUUUUUUUGAAAACACAAAAAACUGUUCUAAAAAAUUGUUUUCACAAUAGUUUUCAAAAACAGCAACCAAACAGACCUAAAGUAUUUUUCCAACAUGAAAACUCUUCAAUUGUUGUGUUUAAAAGUGAGAAAAAUGGGGUAAGUGAAGUGUUCAUGGAAAACUUGUAUAUUAGAUGAUGUGAGCUAUUUGAGUUUGAGACUUUAGCAUGAGAUUCGUCAAGACAAAUCUUAUCUACAAGCAAAUACACAACCCAGAUGAAUUUUAUCUACAAGCAAAUGCAAAAUAUAGUCUACGAAAAACGAAAGAAUAUUUUUUUGUUGUCAAUUUUCCACCACAAACAUUACAUGUAACAUAAUAAAACCCUAUAUAAAUAACUGAAUACCGAACUAUAGUUUUUUCAAAAACAAAACACCCACAACUUUGAAUCGAUAUCUCCCUUGAGUGGCUGAGGCAACCUGAAGUAGAGGGCAACCUUUGAUGUCAUUUCUCCCGUAUCCUAGUUUAGAAUUUUCCUUCUUGGCCCCAGUCCUUUUAGGUUGUGCAUUUUAGUCUCAAGCAUAAUAUUUGAUCCUCCUCCAAUGAUGCAUUUGCUUGCUUUGUGGAACGGGGAUUCUAAGCUGGUGGGCUUAGAAUAGGCCAACGACUUCAGAUCUCCCAAUUUUUAAACAAAGCUUGCCGGAAGGCUUCUUUGGCAACACUCUACCCCGGGUUUGGUGCUUGUAUUUCGUACCAACAGUGGUGGUGGUCGACCUUGGGUGCGACGUAGUUGGCUAGAUUCAGCCUAGCGACCCUGCAAUAGCGACUAUCCAAGUUCGUUUUCAACUCACAGUUGCUUCAUACUGGCGGUGGUGCUCCGUCUACUGUGCCUCCAAUUAGACCAUAACCGUCUUUAUCUGUUCCUUAAGGAUGAGGAUUACUCCGCUGCUGCCUGUUGUAUCACCACCUCUGGCCGUCAUGGUCAUGAGGGAAUAGCUUACUGUUUAUCGAUUCCCACACAUGGUGCCGAAUUCCCUACAACACUUCUCUACCUUGUCCCACCUUCAUUGCUCUAGUGUGAAACUGCAUGCCAACUAGCUUUACUUUCAUCCAUGAAUAGCCUGCAGACAAGAUGAUGCCAUGCAGGAGAUCGGGCAGGAACCCCAGUGGAGAGAGCAAAAUAGAGGAAGAAAAAAAGAAAAAAAAGAAAAGAAAAAGACAAAUUGCAUAGAUCUACCUCACAUUGGCUUUUCAAUAUCCAUGAUGCCCAGAAAACUCAAUACUUUUCCCCAAUGUACCUCUAUACAGCUCAAACACCGAUUACUAUGUGAAACAUGAGAUGCUCUAUUUGCCCAUGGAUGACAAAUAAAUUUUAAGGAAACCCAGUUGGAAAGGAGAUUGCUGUCGCAAAAGCACAGAGUUCCAUAGGGUUCCCUCAGUAAUUGGUGGAAAAGUUCCAGUUAAUGGGUUCGAUAUAUAAAUUACCAGAUUAAGACAAUAAUAAUGCAACUGCACAUCAUGAUUCUUCAUUAUUCUUAGCAGUUACAGCAUAGUUAAUCUUUGGUUGAAGACCAUCAUUUUUGACCUAAAAAUCAUGGUUGCAUACCCAAAGACAGGUCCCAUGGUUCAGAGUUUGAAAAUUGUUCCCUUGGUUGAAUGAUUUGAGCUAAAUCCAAUGUUGAUUGGAUCAAGAAGUUUGAACGAAAUACUGAAAAUUCAAACAUUGUGUCUUUAUUUUCAUCUUUGGUGUUUUUAUUGUCAUUAUGAAAAAUUUCCAACUGAGAAAGCAUAGUGCUAGACAAAAGCCUACCCCAGCAAUUUCACAUCCAGGGAAGCACUAAUGGGGAUCAACCACAGGUUUUAUAAAAUGGAAAUCUUUCAUUUUUUAUUUUUUUUGGGUCCAGAGGUAAAGGAGAAUACUGUGCAGCUGAAGUGGCGAAAAGGAUUGGCACUAACUGCAUUUCAAAGGAGUGUUCAAAUGGCCCCUUUGAAACCUAAAGUAAACAAUUUUGGCGUGUUGACUGGUUUGGGUCGUUUAUAUUAGACAUACACGGCAAAUCAAAGUCAAGCUAAUCAAAAGGCUCAUCUUUUCAAUUCAUUGAAUAGGGAAAUAACGACUGUUGAGAAGAAAGAAGAGAGGAAGAUAUGUACAUCUUGGUGUUUUCCUUGCCAUUGAGUCAGUCUUCAUAACAAUAUUAUCUGAUUGUUCCACAAAUACGGCCAAAGGAUCUGAAUAAAACUAGUUCUAAACUCUUCUUUUCCAUUUGUUGGACAGUGUGAUCAGCCUUCGGUCAUUGACGUGGACAAAGUUCUAUGCUUCCCAGAAAGUAUGUCAAUUUCCAUUGACUCCAAUUCUGGAAAUGCAAGAAUUUUCCUUCAUGAAUUGAGGCUUCUGAAUUCUGAGAUUAUUGUUCUAUCUUUAAAUGAUCAGGGGAACAAAGGCAUAGGAAGCACAACUAUCUGAACAUGGUUGUGAUUAUUCUGUUUCUUCUCUUCAUCUCUGAAUUCUCUACAACAACAGGACAACUAGGGAAUUCAAGCAUUACCCUGGGCUCUUCUCUCUCCCCCACUGGCCCCUCGAAUUGGUCUUCACAUUCUGGUCAGUUUGCCUUUGGAUUCUACCAAAAAGGCAAAGGCUACGCUGUUGGCAUCUGGUUUAACAGAAUUUCACGAAGAACAGUCAUAUGGACUGCAAAUCGGGAUGCUGCACCACUCUCCCGAGAUGUUCAACUGAUUUUCACAAGUGACGGCAAGCUCAUCUUGCAACAGAAUCAAGGGGAAAGCAUAUCCAUUGUUGACAGAGAUCUUCCGCCUGCUUCCUCAGCUUCCAUGCUCGAUGAUGGCAAUUUUGUCCUAAAAAAUUCAAGCUCCAGUGUCAUAUGGCAGAGUUUUGAUACUCCAACAGACACCAUUUUACCAGGGCAGCCUCUUUUGGCGGGGCAAAAGCUGGUCUCAAGCGUUUCUGAGACUAAUCACUCGGCUGGAAAAUUUCAACUCAUUAUGCAGAGCGAUGGGAACUUGGUUCAAUACCCGAUAGAUGUUGCAAAACCAGAAACUGCUUACUGGAAUACUUCCACAUUCACUGCUGGAGCGACUGUGAGUCUAAAUCUUGAUGUCAAUGGCAAACUCUACCUGCGGAAUGGAACUGGCUUUAAUAUCAUGAAUCUGUAUGAAGGGAGUCCUUUCUCUACAGGUAUCUACCGUUUGACCAUAGAUGCAGAUGGUAUAUUGCGGUUGUAUUCUAGCAGUUCGGAUCAGAAUGGUGAUUGGACAGUGGAGUGGUCACCAACCACAAAUAGGUGCGUCCCAAGAGGCUUGUGUGGUCUGAAUGGGUACUGUCUUCUUACAAAUCAGAACCCUCAAUGUGUAUGUCUUCCUGGUUUCUAUCUCACGAAGCCGGGUCAGAAUAACUCCGAUUGCGAGAGGAAUGUCAGCAUGAGCAAGAAUGGAGAUAUAGAGUAUAAUAUCAUUGCGUUGGAAGAUAUUACAUGGGAAGACGACCCCUAUUCUGUUCUCUCCAUGACGAGACAGGCUUGCAUAGAGAACUGCUUGAGUGACGGUAACUGCGAAGCCGCACUGUACAAAAACCAGCAGUGCAGAAAACAAACGCUUCCAUUAAGAUUUGGGAGUCAAGAAGGCGGAGUCACAACCUUAUUCAAAGUAGGUAAUUUUAGUUCGGUAGGCAAAGAAAGCAGGAAGGAGCUGCGAAUAAUUGUCAUCCUAAGCACAAGCAUUUCAUUUUUCCUAGCAAUCUCCGGUGUUGUUAUUUACAGGUACGCAUUCAAAAGGGUCUCGAAUCAGGGAAAUGAUAGAUGGGCGGAAGAUGUCGCUCUACGACCAUUCACGUACCAUGAGCUUGAAAAAGCAACAAAUGGGUUCAGGGAUGAAGUGGGGAAAGGAGCUUUUGGAACAGUCUUCAAAGGGGCCAUAUCAAAUGGCAAGACAGUCGCCAUCAAGAGACUCGAGAAGAUGAUGGCAGAAGGCGAAUGGGAAUUCCAAAAUGAGAUGAAAUCAAUUGGGAGAACCCAUCACAAGAAUCUAGUUCGACUGCUGGGCUACUGCCAUGACGGAAGUAAUAGGCUUCUUGUCUACGAAUACAUGACAAAUGGAUCACUUGCAGAUUUCCUCUUCAAGUCCGAAAGAAAGCCAAUAUGGGAGGAAAGAAUUGAAAUAGCCCUGAGUGUAGCCAGAGGCAUCCUCUAUCUGCACGAGGAGUGUGAAACCCAGAUCAUCCACUGCGACAUAAAACCCGAAAACAUUCUAAUGGACGAGAAAGGGUGCGCAAAAAUUGCAGAUUUUGGGUUGGCAAAGCUGCUGAUGCCCAACCAGACCAGGACCUACACAGGAAUAAGAGGAACAAGGGGCUAUGUUGCACCAGAAUGGCACAGGAACUUGCCUAUAACGGUAAAAGCAGAUGUCUACAGCUUCGGGAUCAUGUUGAUGGAAAUCAUUUGCUGUCGAAGGAGCUUAGACAUGGAUGUUUCGGAGAAUGAAGUAGUACUUGUAGACUAUGUGUACGACUGCUUCGAGGCAAGAGAGCUGGACAAGCUGGUGCGCGAUGAAGAGGUGGAUGGGAUGAAACUUCAACGGAUGGUGAAGGUGGGGCUUUGGUGCAUUCAGGACGAGCCAUCGGUUCGCCCUCUGAUGAAGAAGGUGGUGCUUAUGAUGGAAGGGACAGUAGACAUACCAGCUCCUCCUAGAGCUUCCUUUGCUAGUUCCAUGUCUAGAGAGGCUCAUAACUAAAAUGUAAAAACCUAGAUGUACCAAUCUCAACGUCUCAGAUGUAUAAGUUAUGCUUAUUUUUCAAUUAUUUCAUCUGUUCCACAAUGUCUUACACUAAUGUGGUAUAUAAAUGGCCAAAACCUUCCUUAUCAAUUAAACCACUUCAAUGUCUUCAAAAUUUGUGACGAAAAUUUUCAGACCUUCCGAUUUUCAUCCACAUCACUUUUUCUUUAAAAUCACAUUGGAAAAUUUUAGUUAUAUAUAUAUAUAUUUUUUAAAAAAUUUGUUGUAUAUUUUAAAUUGAAUAUUUUUAAAUGUACAAUUCGUGUAUAUUUUUUGGGCUGUAAUUAUAUAUUCGUUAUUUUAGUAAUAAAAGUAACAAAUAUUAUUCAUUUUCAUUUUCGUAAUAUUAAUAUUUUCACGUCAAUUUUUUUUUAAUUGAAAAAAACCCAGUAUUAAUAUUUUUCCCUUCAUUUUUGUGUGCCAUAAAUUUGAAAAUCUAAGCAAGCGCAGAGGAGAGGACAGCUAGGGUUUCAGCAAAAUCCCAAUUCCACCAUCGCAGGUACAUUCUUCUUUCGGGUUUUUUUUUUCUUUUUUUUUUCUUUUUUCCUUUUCAUUACAAAUCUCAACCAUCUCCGUCAACUCAACACCUUCAUUCAUCCCUGUUAUUCUCUUUUUAUAUUUAUUGAUUGAUUUUGAUUGGUCUUACAGAAGACCUGGGAUGGCGGAUAGGUUCUGGAGUAGGCAAUACUUUGGCGUGCCCAAGCGGCCUCGAUCAGACUAUGGUUUCCCCUCUCCUCAUUUUUUUUUUUUUUUUCAGUUUAAUUUGUAUCACUUGAACCUAGAUGAUAUUUGAUUGGAAUUAUGAACUUCAUGCAAUUGAUUUAGGUUUGUUUGUUUUGAUUUGUUUUUGUGUUUAUUACAUUGCACUCUGUUUGUGAUUUUGAAUCUACUGUGUUGAAUUGGGAUUUUCAAUUGAAUGUUGGACUUGAUGCGGUUUCAAGUAUGGGGAAUUUGAAAAUGUUACUGUUGUUUUUGAAUUGUCGUUGAUUUUGAGUCUUUGGAUUUAACUCUUAGUAUGUUGGUGUGUAGAGCAAUCAAACAGUGGAGUUGGAAUUGGGCCCUCCAAGUUCAACCGCUAGCCUGUAAUGGCGGGAAUUGAUAUUUAUGAUGGGUGUGGAGUUCCUAUGUUUGGUUUUGAGUCUAUGUGUUGGACUUAUUGAACUCGAUGUGUUUGGUUGGUACAAAUUUCAUAUUUGUGGACAAAAAUUGUUCUGUUAACAUGUCAGCUUUAGAAAAUUUUAAAAUUUUAUCUUAUUUGUUGAAUUGGUCUUGGGCAAUGUAUGUAUGUGACCUCAACCUAACUCAACCAGCGUAUGGAUUUUCAAAAUUAUUGGUUGGCAAGAUGAACAAUGUUUUCCUUUUCAAUAUAUAUAUAUAUAUCGGUACAGAUAAUCUGUUAAAAUGUAAGCCCAUACUGAUCUUACCAUAACUCAUGUUAUUGUUGCCUUUCUUAUUAGUCACAUUAACACAGACCAUAUAUUUUAUUUUUGCUUAGGUUGGUUGUUGGUUGUAGGUUGUCGUUGCACACUGCCGCAACAUUUCAAGUCUGACCAUAGUGAGCUAGAAUUGUUGGUUAUUCAAUCUUUUUGAAUCAUUGAUUUUAUUGCAAACACCAAAAGGGUUAUUGAUCAAUUAUUUGGUCAUGAAAUAAUUGAUCAUGAUAUAUAUAUACCAAAAGGGUUGUUGAUCAAUUAUCUGGUCAUGAAGUAAUUGAUCAUGAUAUAUAUAUACCAAAAGGGUUAUUGAUCAAUUAUCUGGUCAUGAAGUAAUUGAUCAUGAUAUAUAUAUAUAUAUAUAUAUUUAAAUCAUCAAAUAAUUUAGUGUCCAUUUAGAUACACUUCUUGUUUUUGUUUUUAAAAAUAGAAAGUAGUAAUAACUUAUAUAUAAAAUGUAGAAACUCUUAUACAAAAAGUAUAGGUUUACCGUUUACCUUAUGUCCUUAACAAUUACUUUAACAAAUUUUAAAAUUGUUAAGAGUUUUCGUAUUUUAUAUAGAACUUGCUACCAUUUUCUAUUUUUACGUAUAGCAAAUAGGAAGUAUAUCUAAAUGGACACUUAAUUAUCUGAUUAUAUAAAGUGUUUUUGAAUUUUUGUGGAAUAAGAAGGAAUCAGCUUUAUUGAGGUUCCAAAUCAUGGAUUUAUGUACACAUCUCUGAACUUGAAAUUUGGUGCCUUUUGUAAUUUAAGAUAGGAAAGAUGGCAAUGAUUGUGAGCCUAUGACUACAAAGUUCAGCUCAGCUACUAUCUAUAUAAGUAUAGAUAUGCCAAUAAUGUAUUACUUGAUUUGGUAAAUAUAAUGAUCUAAUGUUUCAUUUGCAUCCCAGAAAUUUCUGUUUUAUGAAAUAAUUUCAUUUUUAUAUGGAUUAGGGAAAAAAUGAAUCAGGUUUGUUGGAAAUCUUCAAGAGUCUUUAUAAACCAAGUGUUAGAAAAAUUAGGCUAAUCCAAUCUAAGGUAAUCACCCUAAAGGGGGGGGGGGGGGUGUGAAUAGGGUGAUUGUCUCUUUUUGAAAAUUUAAAAGUAUGAAUGCAAGAGACAAUUAUAUGAAAAUAUAUAAUAAAACAAUAUAAAAACAAUUACAUAUAAAGUAAAAGUGUAGGGAAGAGAGAAAAUAAACACAAGAUUUUUAUAAUGGUUUGGCGCAACCCGGCCUACAUCCACUCUCCUCUAGCUUCAAUCCUAAGCUUGAGGUUCCACUAAUUUAAGGCUUUCAAACCAAACCUUCAAGCAAUACAAUUGGAUCAUGGUUCCAAUUCACUCUUUUGGGCUUUUGGCUCCAAGCACCCUUUACAAUCCUUAAGAGAUACCCCACUCUUGAACAACCUCUCAAGUAAUACCCCACACUUGAGAAUCCCUAAGUGAUACCUCACACUUAGAUUCUUCCUUUCAAAGAUAUACAAAUAAUUUAACAAAAUCCUAGUACAAAACUUUAGGCUCAAACGAUACAAGAAAACUAGGAUUGUAUGGUGUACUAAUGAUAUGCAACUUUUAGAACAAUGGUGCACUCAAAAGCACUUUCCCAAUGUUCAAAUAUAUUCAAGAAAGGUUUUGGAAGAUUAAGCUCAUGAAAUAAUGAAGAUUGGAGCCUUUUUAUAGAGGAAAAAUGUCAAACUAGCUAUUAGGGGUUCAACUGGUCGAGCUGAGGAUCAACCAGUUGACUAGUCGUUAGCAUUUAAUGUUUGAUAUGUGACCGUUGGACUUCGACCGCCCCUUGACUGGACCUCAACCAAUUGAGGUGGGGGUCAACCGGUUCAACCGGUUGAGUCGUUUUUGACUCAACAACCAACUUUUUAAAUUUAAAACCUCUUAAACAAGUUUGGAAAACAUUUAACGUAAGGUUUUAGUUAAAAAUAUGAAAUCAUCCAAUUUUAAAGGAUUUAAAAAUGAUAAAACUCUUGGAUGAUUUUGGUGCAUAAGUAAAGAAUGUAAUGCAUAAAGAACUUAGUACAUUAACAACCUUACAAGGAGAUUUUAUGAAACUUGGGUCUUGAAAAAUACUUAUCUUUGAGGUCUUCUUCUUCUUCAUGAUUUUUCUUUAGCUUGAUUUGUCUUUAUAAUUGCCACUUUGGAAAUUGUCUUGCCUAAUUACACUUGAAAUAUAAUCAUUAGUUUUAAACCUUGUUUUGUUAUCAUCAAAAUCGAGAUUAACCAAACCUUGGUUUCACACUAAGAUAUGGCCAUUUUGGAUCAUAUUGCCACAGUGGUUUGCGUUUGAACAUAGUUUUAAAAGGUGUGCUUUAAGUGCACCUUGAGCUGUGCCUAGGCUCAAGGCGCAACCACUCCCUAGUUAUAGCUCUUCCUAGCCAAGACAUGCACCUUAUUGAAGAGGCGUGCCUUAUUGACUUUUAUUCUUCUUUUUUAAACACUUUUAUUUUUGAAAAUUUUAAUUGUAUAUUGAAAUUUAUAUAAUUUCAUUACUUUUUUUAUUGAAUGUUUCUUUUAAAUGUUUCGAAUCUUAAAUUUUUUAUUGAUUGCAUUAGAUUUUGAAUCAUAUUUUAUAAAAUUGAUAUGCAUCCUAUGUUGCAUUUCACUUCACUCAAGUGCACGCCCUGUGCUGCACCCUACGCUGAAGCUAUAGGAGACUUUUGCGCCUUAGGCGCACCUUGCACCUUUUAAAACAAUGCGUUUGAAAUACGACUCCUGCCUGCCCGUCUCAACAUUGUUUUCAAUUUAUCUUGGAGAUGGUUGUCCUAUGAAAAUUGAAUAUCUCAUUUAGAUUUACUGUGUUUGAGAGGAGUCCAUUGACUUUUUGGUAGUAAAUUGAUUCUCUGUGGUUUCAUUAGCAGUAAAAAACUUUUAUGAAUUCAAAAUGUGGCUAUUUUCAUUAUUUUUUCCUUUUGGUGUCUAUCGCAUGUGCAGACAACUCUUCUUAAUGUAUUAUGUGCCCUUUAUUAGUUUUCAUUAAGUUUUCUUUUCAAAGAGUGUCUUGCUUUGGGCUUGCUUUUCUUUUUUGUUUUUUUUUUUUCAAUUCUUUUCUACUAAAAGCCAAAGAUGCACAUUAUAUUGCCUCUCUUUUGAUGCAUGAUAUCAGUCAUCAUUACUUUUGUGGGGCAAUUAUCUAGUUAAAUUUCUCACUAAAAGAGAUUGACUCACAAAAGCAAUAAAAUAGCACUUCCCAGGACAGCUCUAUUGGCAGGUGCCCCUGCUUGGAAAGAGCAGGCCCAAGGUUCGAGUUCCCACAGAAAAUAGAUUUUUUUUUUUUUUUUUUUUUGGGUGGACAUGUCCAGUGUGGGUGCUGUUUUUCUCAUUUUUCUAUUAGAUCCCUGAUACUAUUGGAAAAUAUAAAGGUAAUAAACAGUUGGUUAAUAUAGGAAAGUUUAUUGAAUUUACAUUUCAAUUUUGUAUGACUUCCCUGAUUUAAUAGGAAUGCAUUCAGGAAAUAAACAGUUUCGGUAUAGGAGAGUGUAUUUAAUUUACAUCUAUUGUCAGUAUGAAGCACUAAAAGAGAUUAAUUCACGAAAGAAUCUAUAGAAUAGCGCUCCCCCAGACAGCUCAACUGGCUGAUGCUUCUGCUUGGGAGUGAGAGCUCCAAAGUUUGAGUUCCCCUCAGGAAAUAGAUUUUUAUUUUAUUUUUAUUUUUUUUAUGUGGGGAUAUCCAGACUCCAGAAUGGUUGCUUUUUCCCUCAUUUUUAUAUUGGGGUCUUUGAUAUUAUUGGAACAGAUAAGAAAUAAACAGUUGAGUAAUGUAGAUUUUAUUGAAUUUUCAUUCCAAAUUUCUAUGACAUGUCCCUGAUAUUAUUGGAAUGCAUUCGGGAAAUAAACAGUUUGGUAUAGGAGAGUAUAUUAAAAAAUAUAGAGUCUGGAUGAAGCACUAAAUGUCCAGAUGGCUUGAUUGUUUAGUUUUUCCAUUUAUUUAUUUAGUUGAAGCUAUAUUUGGUUUCUGAGAGGAGUCAACAAUUUAGUACGCUAUAAAGUUUGGCAUAAUGAAUAAUUAAUAUAUUAGAACAAAAAUCGCUUUAAUUAUGGUUGGCAUUAUUACACCAAACAAUCAAGUUUAAAAUCUCAAAUUUUUGAUUGGUAUUAUUAUUUUAACUAGAUGAAGAUUGACAAUUGACAAUCCACUAGAAGAAUUGAAUUCAAUCCCUUUAUGAGUAUUCCAUUCUCUCUCUCAUUUAUCAUAGAACUCAAACCAACUAAAAUUGCACUUGAACUUUCUAUUUUACAAUGUUAUCAAAACUGGACCGGUUAUUAAAUUAGAAAAGUUACCGGUUUAGGAUUCAAUGAUCGGACUGGCAGUUAAACCACUAUCUAACCGACGGUUAUCUGCGGUCUAACCUGUGACGUAAUAAAUAUAUAAUUUAUAGAUUAUUAAAAUUAAAAAUAAAAUUAAAAAUUUUAAAAUAUAUAUAAUUAAAUUUUUUAAUAAUAUUUCCUUUUUAUAUUUGAUACGUUAAAUUAAAUGGUAAUGAUAAAUAUAAAUGUACUAAUAUAAUAAAUUUUAUUAAAUAAAAUAUGUAUAAUUUUUAACUAUGAAAACUUAUUUAAGAUGAAAAGAAAACUUUAAUAUUUAAUUUUAUCUCUUAUCUAUUUUAUUAUUUUAAACUUUUAAAAAUUAUUAUAUUAUUUUCAUACUUAUCAUUGUAAAAAUAAUUGUGAAUGUAAAUAUUUAUAUUUGUUAAAUAGCCCUAAAUGAUACAAAUUUGAAAAAAAACAUCAAUAAUUUAUAUAUUUUAUUUUAUUGAAACAUUUAAUAAGUUCGUUGCAUAAACCAGUGGUACAAUCACUGUGUUUUUUAUCCAAGAUUCAUGGUUCAAGCCCCCAACAUGCAAAGAAGUUUCUUUUCCUUAUAAUAUUAUAAGCAAUCCCACAUCGGAAGUCUACAAACUAUAUUUCCUGUACAAAUACCUUGUUUAUCGUUGAAGUUACAAACAUAUUGUUGGGCUGGAGCUGGGACAGACAUUCGGUUGGCUCUUGCUGGAAGGCACAUUGGGCCAGAAAUGAGGGGGGUCCAUUAUGAUUUUGGUCAAAUUAACCUUGACUGGUUCAAGGGAAACCGGAUGGUUAGUCCGGUUCAAUGGCCGUACUGUUGUUUUGGAUGGUUUAACACCGGUCCAAUGAAGGAGUAGUUCAAUCCAGUUAACUGGAUUGGAGAGGCCGCCAGUUGACAUUCCUACCGGUUGAACCGGAUGGUUUGGUUCGGUAUUUAAAACAUUACUAUUUUAUGCCUAUCAGCACUCUUUUGGAACUUUUUACCAUAAUUGUUGAAGGACUACUUUUGUAUCAUCAAUCCAACUAUUGUUUCAAUCAUAUUUGUUAAAGGGGGCUCUUAGGCAUGCAAAGGCCCAAGGUGCAAUGACUCCCUAGCUAGGGUGCAGUGCCUGCCAAGGUGCGACCUUUGUUGAAGAGGCACCCUUUGUCUAUUUUCUUUUUUCUUUUUUUCCCUUCAAACUUACUGCAAAACAACAUCGUUUUGGCUCCCUUUUUUUGAACUGAAUUGGGGAGGACAAAACAAUGUUGUUUUGCUCUCUUUUUCGGGAAAUAUUGAAGGCAAAUAUGUUUAUGCUUGUGACAUUGUGUUGACAGAUGUCAAUGCUAAAUAGUGUUAUAUUCUUCUCCAAUUUGUUAGUUUAUUAGCACCUAAACCCUCUUGAACAUCCAUUUUGGUUUUUGUUUUCUGUUUUCUUAUGCUUCUAUUCUUAAAUUUUUUACUCUAUUGAAAUUUUGCAUUGUUGCAUUACUUUUUGUUGGAUGCUUCUUUUAAAUGUUUGAAAUCUUGAUUUUUUUGUUACUUGGAUUGGAUUUUGGAUCAUAUUUGGUGACACACACACACACACACACACACACACACAAGUUUAAACAAUAUUUUAAAAUUGCACAUAUGCCCUUGGUUGUUAUGCAGCUUAUGCCUCACUUUGCUCAUGUGCACACAUUAGGUUGCAACUUGUGCCUAGGCCCCGAGGGAUCUUUGCACCUCAAGAAUGCCUUAUGCCUAUCAGAACUAUGGUUUCGACUAGUUGAAGUUGAUUGUCAAUUGAAUAUUUGUACAUGGUGUCCAAACCUCUUGAUUAAGUUUUUUACCCCACUUAUUACCUUUGAGUUAACUUGAAACCAUUCAAAAUGCAUUUAUAACCUCAAAUCCAUGUUUGAUAGACCUUGGUUGCAAAUGUUUGAACCCUAAUUUUCGUACUUAUUAAGCUGUAAUCAUAAAAAAAAAAAAAAGUCCUGAAACUAUAACUCGGUUUCUUGUUAUACAUCUAAAGCAUGGUCUAACCAUUAAAAUUUCUUUUAAAGCCUUAAAUUUGCAUUUGGUAAACCCUCCUUCCAAAUGUUUUUGUGUUUGGAAAAGAUUCAAAGGGAUUUCUAUGGGGAGGAGGAACUCUUGAUAAAAAGCCUCAUGUCGUGAAUUGGUCAAAAGUCAAUAUGUCAAAGAAGAAAGGAGAGGUGGACACUUGUGAUCUCUUUGUUUUGAACAAGGCUCUCCUAAGCAAGUGUUGUUAGAGGUUUGUGUUAGAAGUCUUUUUGGAAGCAAGUUAUUAUAGGGAGGUUUGUGAAAGAAGGAGGAUGUUACUCUAUGGAGGUGAGGAAGGGGUAUGGUGUAGGGCCGUGGAAGGCAACAAGGAUAGGGUGAGGAGUGUUCAAAACUAAGAUUUCGUUAUGUUGUGGGCAAUGGAAGGAAGGUAAAGUUUUGGAAGGACACAUGAUGUGGGGUAACUUCUUUGAGGGUCUCUUUUCCCGUAGUUGUAUGCUAUAAUUACCUUAUAGGAUGCUUGAGUAGUUGAUGUUUGAGAGUAGGCUAACAAAGGUUGGCAUUGGACUUUGUGUUUCUCAAAACAUUUACACGAGCGGGAGUUGGAUGGUGUUGCAAUUUUCUUUCUAAGAUUGUGAGGAAAAUCAAUAAGAAGGGAUGCUAAAGAUGGGGCAAUGUGGAUAGCCUUGAAGAGAGGCAACUUUUCAUUCAAGUCCUAUUAUUUGGUUUGGAUCAUGGGAGACCAAAAUAUUUUUUGGUGGAUGUUAUCUAGAAUUCAUGGGUUCCAACAAAACUAAGCUUUUUUUCUUGGGAACCAGUUUGAAUUACGGAUAAUUUAAAGAAUGGAGGAUGAAUUUUGGUGAAUAGAUGUUUUUGAACACAGAAUAGAAGGAAAAAUAAUUUAUGAUUAGUUUUUUUUUUUUAAAUUGAAAAAUUACAGAUAAAUAAAUAAAUAGGCUAAGUUUGCAGCUUUACCAUGUAACUGACUACCAAGAAACUAGGAACUAACAAGCACAAGGAUCUAAUUAGCAGAAUACCUAGAUAUCUUAACUUGAUUAGUAAUCAGUUUGGAUUUAUUGGAAACAAAUAACAGAAAAACAUAGCAACAAACUCUUAAUAAUUUAACACUCCCCCUCAAGUUGGAGCAUAGAUAUUCACCAUGCCUAACUUGCUAACAAGAGUUUCAAACCUAGGCCUGGAUAGACUCUAGGUUAAGACAUCAGCUAUCUGUUGUUUUGUGGUAAUGAACGACAUGCAAAUAACUUUACUUCCAAGUUUUUCUUUGAUAAAAUGCCUAUCAAUUUCAACAUACUUCAUACGAUCAUGUUGAACAUGAUUGUUUAUAAUGCUGAUUGCAGUCUUGUUAUCACAAAAGAGCUUCAUAGGAGGUUCUCAACUCAACUUUGGUUUAUCAAAAAUUCUCUUCAGCCAUAAAAUCUCACUUACUCCACUAGCCAUAGCCCUAAACUCGGCCUCUACACUACUAUGAGCUAUAACGCUUUGUUUCUUGCUCCUACAUGUAAUAAGAUUCCCCAAAAGGGAAGUACAAUAACCCAAUGUGGAUCUUCUAUCUGUAACUGAACCAGCCCGAUCAACAUCUGUGAAAACUUCCACAUUUCUUUGGUUACCUUUUUUGAACAAAAGUCCUCUUCCUGGUGUACUUUUCAGGUAUCUUAUAAUUUGGUACACAACUUCAAAGUGUUCUUCAUAUGGUGAAUGCAUAAAUUGGCUCACAACACUAACUGCAAAUCCGACGUCAGGUCUUGUGUGGAAAAGAUAAAUUAGCUUCCCUACUAGUUGUUGAUACCUUCCUACUUCAACAAACACUCCCUCGGUUUGUUCUCCAAGUUUGUGAUUUUGCUCCAAUUGGAGUAUCACUUGGCUUGCACCUGCUCAUUCCUGUUUCUUCAAGUGGAUCUAAAACAUACUUUCUUUGUGAAAUAAAGAUCCCGUUUUUUAGAUCUAGCAAAUUCCAUUCCCAAGAAAUACCGUAAAGACCCCAAAUCUUUAAUUUCAAACUCUGCUGCAAGGCUCCUCUUUAAUCUAGCUAUCUCAAUGUCAUUAGUUCCAGUAAGAAUGAUGUCAUCCACAUAGAUGAUCAAAAUAGCUGUCUUACUAUCUCCAAAAUGCUUUAUGAACAAGGUAUGAUCAGUUUGCUAGUGACUGUGGCUUUGAUUCUUAACAGACCUUGUAAAUCUUUUGAACCGUGCCCUAGGAGAUUGCUUUAGGCCAUAUAGUGACUUCUUUAAUUUGCUCACUUUGGUUCCAAAGCUGUCCUCAAAUCCUAGUGGAGCAUCCAUAAAGACCUCUUCUUCUAAUUCAUCAUUAAGGAAUACAUUCUUGACAUUUAACUAAUGUAGGGGCCAUUCUAAGUUUACAACCAAUGCUGUAUUUAGCUUUGCAAUUGGAGCAAAGGUCUCCUGAUAAUCAAUCAAUCCCAUAAGUUUGUGUAAAACCUUUCGCGACCAACCUAACUUUAUAACAUUCGAAGGACCCAUUUAUACCCCACCGGUGUCUUUCCUUCAAGCAAGUUUACUUUUUCCCAUGUGCCAUUUUUCUUAAGAGCCUUCAUCUCCUUGAAGACAACCUCUCUCGAUUCAGGAACAUUUAGAGCUUCCUGUAUAUUUUUAGCUUCAUCCAUACUAGAUAGUUGUGAGAUAAAACCUAAAAAUAUACAGGAAGCUCUAAAAUAUGAACCUAAAAAUAUACAAUAAGGUUACUGAUUUUUAUAGGACACAUGAUUGGAAAUUGGAUGCUUAGUGCAUGUUCUAGUAGCUUUUCUUUGAGCAAUGGGAAUAUUGAUAGAGAAAUCAGUUUUUGGUUUAGAAGUGACACAAAUCAAGAGAAGUACCUGGACUUGAAGUUUCUAUAGCAUUCGGAUCUGGUCUCAGAUUGGACUCUUAGCCUUGUAAAGUUGUAAUAGCAUCUUUCCCUUGAGUUAGAUUUUUCCUUGAGUAGACAAUUUCACAUCCGCCUUUUUUCCUAGUUCCUGGAUCAUUUUCUGUUCUAGUAUGGACUCCACUUAUGGGCAUUGAAAUAGGCUGUCUUACUUCUAAAUGUAAAGCAUCCAAGUCCAUUAAAACAUUCGGAUUCACUAUAAAAAUCAGAAUUUAACAAUUUUGAUUUUUUAUCAGAAACCAUGCCAGAAGUUUAAAAUUCUGAUUUUUUUAUUAGAAACCAUGUCAUUCCCCUCCAAUUCAAGUAAUGAGCCUUCAUAACCAUUCUCCCAAUGAAGAGGAGUAUUAAAAAAAUUGAGCUUAGAAAAAUGUGACUUCCAUAGUAACAAUACUUUUUUUAUUUUUGGAUUAAAACAAUGGUACCCUUUUUGUGUUGGAGAAUAUCCAACAAAAACACAUUUCAAUGCUUGUGGGUCUAACUUACUACAAUGAUGAUUAUGCACAUGUACAAAAGCAACACAAUUGAAAAUUUUAAGAGGUAAAGCAGAAAUUAGACAUGACAUUGGAAAACCCUCUUUAAACAUUUUAUUGGUGUAUUAAAAUUCAAAGUUCUUGAGGGCAUUUUGUUGAUCAAAUAAAUGGCAAUAAGAAUAGCUUCUCCCCACAAGUAUUUAGGUAUUUUAAUUGUAAACAUUAAAAAUCUAGCUACUUCUAAAAUAUGUUUAUUUUUCUUUUCCGCCACUCUAUUUUGCUGUGAAGUAUCAAAACAAGAGCUUUGAUGUAUAAUCUCAUUUUCCAAGAAAUAUGUGCCCAAUAUUUUGUUGAAAUACUCCUUUCCAUUGUCACUUCUAAACGCCUGUAUUUUUUCUUGAAACUGAGUUUCUACCGUAGUGUAAAACUUUUUAAAAAUUUGUUCAACAUCUGAAUUUUCUUUGGGCAAAUAAACCCAACAAACACAUGUAUAAUUAUCAGUUAGCAUUAAGAACCAUUUUUUUUUCUAGAAAUUGUUGGAACUUUAUAUCGACCCAAACAUCACUAUGAACAAGAGUAAAGGGUUUAGAAGACUUGUAAGGUUGCAUAAGGAAUGAUGCACGAUAAUGUUUUGGAAUUUGACAAAUAUCACAAUGAAAACAAGAGGAAUUUUUAUUUUUGAAUAAAUUUGGAAACAAAUACUUCAAAUAUUGAAAGUUAGGGUGGCCUAACCUAAAAUGCCAUAACAUUAUUUCAUUGCUACUAGAUUCAAAAAAUGAUUUAAGACUAGUUAUUUGAGUCUUAUGAGUUUGUCCACACAAGUUACUUCCAUCUUCAAAGUAGCAAAGUCCAUCACUUUCUUUAGCAUUGCUAAUCGUCCUACCCAAGUCCAUUUCCUAAAAUUCAUAGUGAGUAAAGAAGAACCACAUUUUAAGUCACGAGUGAGCUUGCUAACCAAUAAUAGAUUACAAGAAAUAUUUGGAACAUGAAGGACAAGAGAUUUUGAAGUAGCUAUUGAUCCUUUCCCAACAAUUGUUGAAAGAGAACCAUAAGCUAUCUUGAUUUUUUGAUUUCCUACAUAUGGACUAUAGGAGGAAAAUGAUUUAAAACACCCGAUCAUAUGAUCAAUUGCGUCUGAAUCUAUGAUCCAUGGACAACUAGAAGUAGCAAGUACAUUAAAUGUAACAACUUAACAGUAGUUGCCUUUUUGGGCCAAAGAACAAGAGGAAGACACAUUAUUUGAGAAUUUUGUGGAUUGAUAAAGUGUAUAUAGUUAAUCUAUUCCUUACUGAAAGAAGACAUCUCUGCGGCUCCUCCCAAGCCACUACACUCCUCAGCUACUUGAAAUGCCUUUGGAUCAUGGUUUGUUUGACUGAAUGAUCUCGGUUUUCAGUUUUGUGUUUUCCAUGUAACUCCCAGCAUGUUUCUCUAGUGUGUUGAGGCUUAUGGCAGUGAUCACACUAGAUCUUGUCACUUCUUCAAUUUUGCUGUGGUUGUCCAGGUUGAGCAGAUUGAUUGUUUCUUGUUACUAGGGCAGGAACUUCAAUUGUAAGCUGACUAUUUUCUCCCAUUAUCAUCUUUCUUUAACCCUCUUCUCUCCUUAAUUUAGAAAACACAUCACUAAGAGAUGGUAGUGGUUUUUUGCCAAGAAUUCUACCUCUAACCUCAUCUAGGUCUUUGUUUAGUCUUGCUAAGGACACAUACACUUUGUAAUUCUCCAUUCUUUUUAUAUACCUUACACUAUCCUUUGUGCAGUCCCAUACUUCAUUAUAGCAUAGGUCAAACUCCUGCUAUAGUGCUUUCAUCUCAUUAUAAUACUCUGUUACCUCUUGAUUUUCUUGAUUUGAAUGGCACAACUUUGUUUUUAGUUUGAAAAUCUGGAAUGAGUUUUCCAGGUCUGAAUAUGUCUCUUGAAUGGCUUCCCAGACUUCUUUUGUAAUAGGGAGAACCAGAUAUGUCAUACCAAUUGCUGGCUCCAUGGAAUUGACAAGCCAUGCAAUCACUAACGAGUUCUCAGACCUCCAAGUCUUCAAUGUUGGAUCAUUGUCUGCUAGUUUUGUUGUCUUGCCUAUCAGGUGACCUAGCUUUCCCUUGCCAUCGAUCAUAAGCUUGAUUGACUGCGCCCAUUCUAGGUAAUUUUUACCGUUCGGUUUGUGAACGAUCAAUUGAAGAGAUGGAUUUUCAACUUCAUUAAGGGUUACAGUAGAAACUGGAGGUGUACCUGUACUAGCAACACUUGUGGAUGUUGUAGUCCUUUGCCCAGUCAUGGCUGUUCUCGCUAUCACGAUUUCCCAAAAAACAACCUAUGCUCUGAUACCAUGAAUGUAGAAUAGGAGGAAAAAUAGUUUUUGGUUAGUUUUUUUUUCAACUAGAAAAUUACUGAUAAAUAAAUAAAUAGGCUAAAUCUACAGCUUAACCAUGUAAUUAAAUACCAAGAAUCCUGGAACCAACAGGCACAACUUUAGGACCUAAACUAACAAGCACAACUCUAGGACCUAACUAUCAGUAUACCUAGAUAGCUCAACCUGAUUAGUAAUCAGUUUGGAUGUAUUGGAAACAAAUAACAGAAAAACAUAGCAACAAACUCCUAAUAAUUCAACAAUUUUAUAUGUAAAGGUGAGGAGGAAUCUGGUGAGCACAAACCCCUUCAUUGUACUAAGGGAAGAAUUUUAUGGUAGUUUGGUCUUCUCCUUGUUUGGAAUUGCAUAUAUGCUACAUUCAUUAGUUAAAACAACAUUACUAAGCUGGCAUGGACAUUUCGCUGGGAAGAAGAGGAAGAAAGCUUGUAAAGUUGCUCCUUUGUGUUUGUCUUGGACUAUUUGAGAAGUGAGAAAUAGGAGGGUUUUUGAUAAUGCUGAGUUAUUGGAUCUAGAGUUCAAAUCAUCUUUUAUGUGUAAUUUUUUGGAGUGGGUCAAAGGGGGUUUAAAGGAUGGAUCCAUGUCUAUGGUUGAUUUUAUUCUCUCUUCUUGUUCUUUGCCUUGUAGUGCACUUGUAUGUGCCGUGUGUACUUUGUGUGCCUUUUUUUCAUGCCUUUUAAUAUGUUACUUUCUUUCCUAUAUAUAAAAAAAGGGUUUUAAGCCAUACUGCUUGUAUUUUUUAAAGUUUGUAACUUGGUUUCUUUUCUAGCUAUCAAAAAUUUGACCUGUCAUUUUAAGAUAUUACAUUUAUAACUGCUGUGUUUAUUACUGUAGCCUAGGUUUCGUAUCUCUUUCACUAGUCCUAUGCUGUUCUCUUUAUUUAAAUGGGAAUAGAGGUAUCCCAACUGUGUUUUAGACCAUGUUCAAUCACACUCCCUAUUCUAAAUGCCUUUCCUUGCUCAACUGUGUUAGACAAUAUCAAUAAAAAAUUUGAAGUAUUGAGUUUGCUUCAUAUACGCGUCUAGUGCAAGACAUAUUAUAAGAAGUGAAACUGAAUCCUUCUUGCUGUUGAAGACUUUUGGAAUUCCUUUCAGCUAUUCCUGCUUGGAUGACUGCAUCACCAUGCUAAAUAAAAUGAAACAUAAGUACAAAAUUUACUCCUUUAUUUUCGACAUUUGCAGAUCUCCCAUAUUCUGGAUUGCCUUCAGGCAAUGAGGUCCAUAAUUAUUUAGUUCAAGGUGAUGAUCUUGGUGGCCCCCGAUCUGUAAAGGACUCAAAGACUGUUGGAUUGGCAUAUGACCAAUAUUUCCAGGAUGUUUGUGCUCUUAAACCUGAGCCUAUGUUCAUUUUAAUCAGACAUGUAACUAAUCUACCUAUUGGUGUGCUAAAGCAUUCAUCCUAUUGCUUUUGAAGCAGAUUCCUUCUUUUACUUCUGGAGCAGCUAGUGAUUUUCGUGGGGUUGGGUUAGGAACAGCAACUGGUGAAGCAAUAUCUGGUCUUUCAAUUUCUGGUCCUGCUGUUAUGGAUCAUUUGGAGGCCCUGGAUUCUGAUCUACCACCAAGUGGUCAAGGCAGGCGUUUUGGUCAUCAGCUGGAUGCAAUUAUCAGACCAAGCCGGGAAACGGCUCCUCUACCUCCUGAUGCAUCCAGCACUCUUUAUGUUGAGGGGCUUCCUCCUGACAGCACAAGGAGGGAAGUAGCUCGUAUCCUUCAAGAUGUUAUAACAUUGCCAAGGAAUUAUUGUGAUUCAUGUUUUUUUCAUCCCAUUCUUUCAAUCUAAACCCUCCUGCUGCUAUUUGUUGACAUUCCUUUACCCAAUCCUAGAUAUUUUUCGCCCAUUUGUGGGGUAUAAAGAAGUAAGACUCGUGAGCAAAGAAUCCAAGCAUGUAAGUUACUUGUAAUAAACACUCCACUGUCCUAGGCCCACUUGGCUAGUCAGUUUUCGUUACAUCACUGUGAUUCUCUUCUUCAUACUGUUUUGCAGCGUGGUAGAGAUCCUCUUGUCCUUUGUUUCGUGGAUUUUACAAGCCCAGCCUGUGCUGCAACUGCAUUGAGUGCUUUGCAAGGUGAUCAUUUUCCCAAUUCAUCCUUGAUGAAUAAAUUUUCCAACAGUUUCUGCCACUGGAAGGGAAAUCUCUGUCAUUGUAGUGUACUGUGUGUGUAUAUGAAGAUGGUAGGGCAAUAUAUAUAUAUAUGUAUGUAUGUAUAUGUAUAUAUGAAGAUGUAUGGUGAUCACAAUUGUUAUUAUGCAUUCUCUGCUUUAUAGGAAUGUUCUUUAUUAUUCUUGAUUUUAGUUGGCCUUGUAUUUAUGCAAUCAUUUUUAAGCUUUUGCUGCCUAUUAAAGAUGUAGAUGAGAACUAUUAUUUGGGCCAGAGAAACAAUUCUCAUAUUUGCUUGUGUUGUCUGAUAAAGAAUGCUAUUCAAAGGGAGUUGUGAUUAUAAUAACCAAUGUUAAUCAUGAUACUCCUAGGAAGCUGUUCUACCUCACCUGUAAGGGGUAGAAAAUCUGGAAGGGCAGGGGGUUCAAUGCUUACUGUUGAGGAAAAAAUGGAUUAGGGUAUCUCUUAAGGGGAACCUACCAAGAUGUAGAUUUAAAUGGUGUUAGGUUGAUUCAUUUGCUUAUGCUACUGGUGUCUAGCAAUGUCCUGAAUUAAUUGUUCGAUUCCACAGGUUAUAAGAUCAGCGAACAUGAUCGUGAUUCUGCCCAAAUGAGAUUGCAGUUUUCUCAGUACCCAGAUCCAAGGUCUGGCUCUGGAUCCCGUGGGAAGCGCAAAACAAGCUUCAAGAGAGGGCGCCCAAGCAGAAUGAAGUCUCAUGUACUUGUAUGUACUUUUAUAUAUUUUUUCAUAGAUUGUUCUUUGGCAAAUUAUAAACAUAGCUGUAUUGUGCAAUCUAGAUUGUUCAAUCCUGCCCACACACUAUAUCUUCUACGAUGGCUUUGCUUUAGUUUCUUUGGUCAGUUCAUACAAUAUUUAGAGAUUAAUUUUCUAUUUUGAGAAGUUCUUAUAUUUCCAACCAUAAGUGCCAAUAAUUUCGUUAUAAAAAUCGAGAAGAUUCCACUAUUAAAAAACUAUCAAAUAAAAGAAAAAAAUAAAAAAAAAAAGUUGACAAUGAUUGAUGGACUAGAUAGGAGAAGAGAAUAAAUGAGAGAAGAACACGUACAGAGUUGCAGAGAAGGAAGAUAGAGAACUUAGCAUUUAUUUCAAUGAGAUCCCAACCCUAUGAAACUCCAACAUUUUUUUUUAAAGGAAUUAAAUUUUUUUUAAAUUCUUCAACUAUAUCCUUUGAAUCCUUUCUCUCAAUGAAUUUUGUUCAAACCUCUCUUAUUCUAAACGCUUUGUAGGCAGGUUUCACCUAGGGAAGUGCAAGUCUUCUUUUUUUAUAUGAAUGGAUGAUUGAUGAGAACGUAAUCAGAUCGAUUUUUAUUCUUUUUAAUUGGAUGUCUUGUUGGAAGUCUUCUAUUUCCCUCCCUUUUAUAUAUGUAUAUACAUAUUUGUUUAAAAAAGGGAUUAAAAGUUAAAGAGAAACAAAAGACAACAUUGAUUUGUUUUUCAGACAGAAGAUACAAUAGGAUUUGUUUUUCAGACAGAAGAUGCAAUAGGUUUCGUGUUGUAAGCUAUUGUGGAAGAGGAAUCCGGUUUUGCAUGGAAUUUGCUGAGAUUUGGGCUUUGAAUUUCCAGAUGAUCAUGAUUUUGCUUUCAUUUCAUAAAAAUUGAUCAGGAUUUUUUUGUUGAAAGCUGCAGUAGUUUAUAUUUUUUACUAUAAUCCUUUUUCAGUUGAUGCUGAUUUUCAUUAAGAGAUUUUAUAUGGCUUAAAUAAUUGAUUUUUUUUUUUUCCUAUUCUUUCUGUAGCGCUGAAGAAGACGUAGAGAUGUGAAGUUUGCAUCAUUUAUUUGGUAGUGAAUAGAAGGCUAAUGGAUAAUAAUUGGAAACAGUCUGGGAAUUCCAAACCAUAUGCAAUCAGAGCUGUUGAUGGAGGAUGGCUCGAGUUAAAACACAGAAUAGUUUUGGGCUUUACAUGAUAUAGUUUACUUCAUAGGACAAGUUUCCGCAGCCAUUAGAAUGGCUGACCAAGGUUUUGUUGAGCAUCACCAAUCCAAAGUUACAUAUGUUUUCUUUUUUUGUGAAACUGGCUCCUAUAUAUGUAGGAUCCAUUCAUGCCAGUAAUCCAUUGUAGUGAACAGGUACCUAUUAAAAUCCUCCUCCUCCUCCUCUGACAUGGAACCAAGAAAAAUCAGAACCCUAAACUUACUGGGUGUGUUUGAAUCCUUUGCAUCAAACUCUAUAUUUUCUGUUAAAGCCUAUGUGAAACCAGUGAAAAUGUGACCUUUGCCAUUAAGGUUGUGAUGAUACAUUCAUUGGAAUGUAACGUCGAUAGCGACGAAUUCCGAAUUCGGAUUCCCAAAUGACAACAAUGUCUUUGGUGUCGAAGCAGAUGGUGACAUUAUACAAGCUGUCCCACCUCAUUAGUCUUCACAGAAUGGUGAUCCUAACUGCAUCUGAUUUUUCUUCAGUGUUUGGUGGUGGAAUUGACGUGCCUAUACAUCUCCAUUAGUCAACCACAGAUCGCUACAUGUCUGUUAUGCAAUCCACCUUUCAUACAUUUCCUAUUACAACUAUAUGCUACUACUAGGAAUAUAUAUAUACACACACAAUGUCUGCCAGCCAGACCCAUAUAAUCUGAGCAUCUUAUAUUUUAUGUCUACUAUAAUUAUAGUUAGAUCGGUCCUGAUACCGCCUCUUGGGGAGUAUUGACCUUAAAAAACAAAGGGAUACUACUUGGUGUCAGCUGGAUUGGGCAUUUCUAUAUCUCAUAUGGUCAUGGAUGGCUGCGAGUUGUUACUAUGGGUUUCAUAUUCACGUUAGGUUCAGAGUUUGGACUUCUAAGGACCGUGCUGUAGAUAAAUUAUUACGAAAAGAUGGGUUGAUUCAGACUCAUUGGACUGUUGCUAAUCAGCUUGAAGCUAUCACAUAUAGGCAGCAUGCCCAUAUUCAAGUAACUUAGAUGGGGAUGGGGUUAAAUUGAUUCAAUAGCCAUGCUAUUUUUUAUGAACUCUUUUAAUUUUUACUAGUAUUUAUAAAAAUUGUAACAUAUUUCUGUUAUUAUUACUGAUAGGUCCAUUUAUUAACUGAUGGGCUCCCUGCUCAAAUAUUCUCCUUUCAUAAAUACUAAAUAGUGAAUAAAUGCGCCUUAGACAUAAACAAAAAUAUAACGAGGGGCUGUGAUUGACAGUGAUGAUUACCCAACUGCAAGAAUUUCAAAGAAUUAAACAGAAUAGUAGGUAAGAGGAGAGAGGUACAGCACUAAGUGAGUAGUGAGUAGUGAGUAGUGAGAAGUAAGUGGUAACAACUGGAAUGUUGAUUUGUACUUUUUAUACUCGAAUUGGAUAUGCCUAAAGCCACUUUUACUUUACGUUUCACCUUUCUUUAUCUCAACCUAAUCUUUCCGUACCCAAAUGAUGGUAGUAGGUGAUUCAUGCAGAAAGGACAGCAGGACUGGCAUCCAUGACGUGUUUUAGGUUUCACUGUUUCACUGUUUGACUUUUUUUUUUUUUUUUUAAAUUUCAAUUUCUACUCUUCACAAUAUUUAUUCUUUCUAUUAUUUUUUUCGAAGUAUUGUACUUUUAAGCCACAUGAACGUAUAAAUUUUGAAAAAGCUUUGUUAAAGUGCUUUGAUCCUUUCUUUCUUGUAGGGCUUGCCUAACUAUUGAUUCAAUUUUUGUUUUGAAAUUUUAUUAAACAUAUGAUUAAAUAAGGUACUAUUUUGGUUGCUAGAAACAGUUUUCUAUUUUAAAAAUUUAAAAAAACAAUUUUAAAUUUUUUUAGAAAUGUUUUCAAAUAAACCUCAAAUUGUUUUUUUUUUUUUCUUGUUUCCCCGAACGAAUGAACGGCUUGAUUUACAAUAAUGAUUUAUACCUCAAAUAUUAUGCAAAGAAAUUACAUACCCUUCAUAUUUAUCCUUUUUUUUAUUUGGGAAAUAAGGAAGAAUUUAUUAGAUUCAAAUGGAAGCUAUAAAGCCAUGUAAAAUGUGAACAAAGUCGAAGAGAAACCACUCCGGUUAAGAGGGAAAGAGACGGGAGAUAGUGGCCGUGGGUGUGAAGUCGGGCCGCCUGGUACCUGCACCCUAAAAAAACCAUGGAAAAUUUAGGUGAGAAAGACAAAAAUUCAAAUUUCUCUAGUAUAUACGACUAUACGAGGAGGAAGACUUUCUCUGUGAAUGAUUGCAUAAAAAAACACGACCUUUUUACUUUAUUCCUUUGCUGAGCUUGCAUGCACACCUUCUCUCUCUCUCUCUCUCUCUUCAUUUUCAUAUCUAGAAAAUAGAACCGGUCCCCACAGCCAAGCCAAUUUCUUCCUACUCAUAUCUUAAUGAGUGGUCCAUUCUCUUUUUAAAAGGAGAUGACCAAUUCAAACCCAAAUUCAUUUACAAAUGCUACAAGUGUUUUUAAAGUAAUUUUUUCACUGAUUGGGUGAGGUGUGAAUCUGUGAGAGGGUAAAAACCUAAGCUAUAUUAAGGGUGGAGAAGGCCUGGUUCAGAGCAGAACACAACCCCCCAUUUCUGUACUGAAAAUGGGAAGAGGAGGAAGGGGGCCUUCAAUGGCCUCUCUCAUUGCCACUCUUCUGGUGGUUACCAUUUCCCUAAGCUUGCCUUCUGAAACCUCUGCAAACUACCAUUACUCAUCUCCUCCACCGCCUUACUACUACAAGUCCCCACCUCCCCCUCCACCUGUUUACAAGUAUAAGUCUCCGCCACCACCUCCUCCGGUCUACUCCCCACCACACCACCCACCAUACAAGUACAAGUCUCCACCACCGCCGCCGCCGGUUUACAAGUACAAAUCUCCACCCCCACCUCCUCCGGUCUACUCCCCACCACACCACCCACCUUACAAGUACAAGUCUCCACCACCACCGCCGCCGGUCUACUCCCCACCACACCACCCACCUUACAAGUACAAGUCUCCACCCCCACCUCCUCCGGUCUACUCCCCACCACACCACCCACCUUACAAGUACAAGUCUCCACCCCCACCUCCUCCAGUCUACUCCCCACCACACCACCCGCCUUACAAGUAUAAGUCUCCUCCGCCACCGCCACCGGUUUACAAAUACAAGUCCCCACCACCACCGCACAAGAAGCCAUACAAGUAUAAGUCACCUCCUCCUCCACCGUACAAGUACAAGUCCCCACCACCACCACCCAAGAAGCCAUACAUGUACCACUCUCCACCACCACCACCAUAUAAGUACAAGUCUCCACCACCACCUCCUCCGGUCUACAAGUACAAGUCCCCACCACCACCACCCAAGAAGCCAUACAUGUACCACUCUCCACCACCACCACCAUAUAAGUACAAGUCUCCACCACCUCCUCCUCCUGUCUACUAGUACAAUUGCCCACCUCCUCCUCCGCCCAAGAAGUCAUACNNNNNNNNNNNNNNNNNNNNNNNNNNNNNNNNNNNNNNNNNNNNNNNNNNNNNNNNNNNNNNNNNNNNNNNNNNNNNNNNNNNNNNNNNNNNNNNNNNNNAGCUUCAAUUCUACUGCAUUUUAAUUAUAUUUCACCAGAUUCAAAGACCUGAUAAAGAAAAUGGACUAAUGACACAAGCUUUAUGUACUAUAUAUUGCAGUUUGGAAAGCAGAACUGAGAAGAAUCUCAAAAUAAAGAAAAGGGGGCUUGCUGCAGAGCUUUUACAAAGAAGGAAAGCGAGUCUCUGCGUUUGAUUGAUGUUAUCUUGUGUUAAAUAGAAAAGUAAUAAACUAGGGGUCCAGCAUUAUCAUCAUGUAUUCAUCAAAGUUGCCGUCGCACUGGUCCAUAUAUUUUUGCGUGUUUAGACGAAUCGUGUGUCUACGUAGAUUUCAACCUUUUUGGCGAAUGCUGAGGUUGAUUUUAUAAUAAGAUCAUCAAUAUCUUUCUCAAAUUAAUUCUCUCUCUGCCCCCUGUGUGAACUCUCUCUCCCUUCAUACGCAAGCUCACGUUUGAACAGAUUCGUAUACAAAAUGUUAAUUAUCUUUUAUGUACAUUAAAAUUUUUUGUGAACUAAUCAAAGAAAAUGUUAAAAAAGAAUAGCGUAACAAAUUUGCAAUUAUCAAAUUUGAUUUUCUCUCUCAACAAGAGGGAAAAUUAAUCUGCCAUACAUUUCACGUGGUACCUUAUCUUCUUUUCCUUUUUCCCCUUUAUUUUUGUUUGAUACUGUCUUGAUAUGUCUUUUUCACUGGGUGUGCAUCUAAUUCAUUAGCAUGUGUAUAAUUAUUCAACACCUAACCCUAAUGGUAAUGGGUCUGGUGUAUUUCAUUUUCUCCUAAUUUCCAUCUUAAAAAGGAAACAUGUUGACAAGAAGAAAAUAUGAGCUUCUGUAAAUUCUUUAUUCACCAUUUCAUGUCUGACUCUUUUUACAGCCAUAAAUAGAAACUUCCAAAUGUUUAAAAAUAAGAAAUGUUGACUUCAUUUUUCAGUUUUUUUUUUCUUCUCGCUUGUUUGAUAACUAUAUUUGAAAAUAAUUUUGAAAAUUAAUUUUUGAGAAUGAUUUUUAAAAAUUGUUUUUUGAUUUUUGUAAAACAAAAGUCUAUUUUGAAACUUAAAAUAUUUUGACUUGUUUUUAAUAUUUUUAAAUUUGUUUUAAAAAUAAUUUUUAUAUCUAAAUGUUUGUAUAAUUAUUUCUUAAAAGAGCUUUAAAAAAAUAAAUAAAAAUAAUAUAAAAUAAUUAAAAGAUGUUAUUUGAAAAUAUUCUAUUUUUUGUUCUUAGAAUAAAAAAAAUAGAAAAUAAUUUUUUGUUGUCAAAUGUAUUUCUAUGUUUUUUGUUUUAAAAAACAGAAAACAGUUCUAAAAAUGGGUUCCCAAACAGGACCAAGUAAUUCAGGAUUUACUUGGCCGACAGUAGGAAUAAAUGUCUCCGGUGAAUUGUCUAUUUUAAAUAAAAAAAAGAAAAGAAAAGGGAAUUAGAAUCUAAACAUGAAUCUUAGAUAGCUAGGUAGCAGAGGGGAAAUUGGUAAAUAAGAUUUUUUGUGGUAACAUAUGUGUUUGUUUUAUUAGCCGAGUGAUGUAAUGAGGACAAUAAUAAGGUGAUCUUGUUUGGAAAAUGGACCACCCAUGUCAGCUAGUAAAUGGUUCGAGUAAUGCUAGCUGGAAUGCCUUACACCUCCCUGUAUAUUAUUAUUUAUUUAUUCAUAUGUAAUUUAAACCAUAAUAUUAGUUUAAUUAAAAAAUCAUAAUCCUCCAUCUAAUGAUAAUAAAAUAUAUAAUUAAUGAUGCUGCCGGCAGGCAGCCGCAUGGUGAAGGAAUACAUUAUGGUGAAGCUGCUAGGGUGUAUUUGGUAACUACUUUCAAAAGUAGUUCUAAAAAAUAGUUUUUGAAAGUUAUUAUCUAACAUUUUGUAUAACAAAAAUCUAUUUAAGAAUUUAAAAUGUUUUUAAUUUAUUUUUAAUAUUUUUAAAUAUGUUUUAUUUUUUUUUUAUAUCUAGUACUUUAUUUUUAACAAUUCUAUAUGAUAUAAUUAUUUUCUAAAAUAAUCUUCAGAAAAUAAGUGAAAGUAAUUAAAAAGAUAUUAUUUAAAAAUAUAAUAUUUUUUGUUCUUAAAAAUAAAAAAUAGAAAUAAUUUCCGAUUAUCAAACGUGUUCUAUUGGUUUUUUUGUUCUGAAAAAUAGAAAGCCGUUUUUAAAAACAGAUAUUAAAUAAACCCUAAUUGUGUAAAUGUUAAAAAAAUAUAUGGAAAAAAUUUAGAAAAAAUUUGAAAUUUUCUCAAAGUAAUUAAAUAGAGCUUACGAUUUUGUCAAUGAUACAAAGAGGUAGGUAGUUAAGUAGGAGAAACUACAUUUUCAAGGCUUAUCAUUUUCUUUUUUAUUAGUCGUACGUUUAUUAAUUACUAUAUGAACUAGUCAAUUAAUUAAUUAGAUAAAUUUUGAAACUCUCACAAAGAAAUAUAUAGGAAUGGAAGUCUUUAUCUUUGAAAAAUUGCACCAGGAAGCCUAGAUGGAAUGGCGACACUACUACUUUAUUCUUUAGCUUGCAGCUUCCAUCGAUCACCCCGAUGCACCAAGUCAAUUUCAUCCAACUCAAAUUUCUUUCUUAAUUUAUAUAAAUUUUUUUUCUUAACAAAAAUUAAUCAUAAAAUGACCCAUUCAAACAUAGCAAUGAUUUUUAUUUUUUUUUUACUAGUAGAAAUUAAUGUUUGGGUGUUUUGGAGUGAUUUUACUACGAUGAAUUGAAGUGUUAGAAAGGUAAAUGAGUAAGCUAUAUAAAGGGUGGAGGUGGUGGCCUUAAAGCAUAGCUCAGUCAAAUUUCCUUUUUGUAGUAAAGAAUGGGAAGUGGAGGGAAGGGAGCGAAGGGGUCUUCAAUGGCUUCUCUCUUUGCCACUCUUGUAAUGGUGAUUGUGUAUCUCAGUUUGCCAUCUGGAACCUCUGCUGAUGAAUACGAGUACAAAUCCCCACCACCCUACAAAUACAAGUCUCCACCACCACCUCCUCCCGUUUACAAGUACAAAUCCCCACCACCUCCUCCUCCAGUGCACUCUCCACCCCCACCACCACCACCUUACAAGUAUAAGUCUCCGCCACCACCCCCACCAGUUUACAAGUACAAAUCCCCACCACCACCAUCACCACCUUACAAAUACAAGUCUCCACCACCACCACCUUACAAGUACAAGUCUCCACCACCACCACCUUACAAGUACAAGUCUCCACCACCUCCUCCACCAGUUUACAAGUACAAAUCCCCACCACCACCAGUUUACAAGUACAAAUCCCCACCCCCACCACCUUACAUGUACAAAUCCCCGCCACCACCUCCUCCAGUUUACAAGUACAAGUCUCCUCCACCACCACCUCCCAAAUACUACUACUCUUCACCCCCUCCCCCUCCCCCUCACCACUACUAGAGUGGUUCUGCUGCAUGCAAUCAUUAAGGUGGGCUUCAUAUUUUCUACUUUUUCCAUAAAUUCCAUUUCUGAAUUCUGCAUUGUUUUAUGUUAAUCCAUAGGUUUUGCAGUGGCAAAAACCUGACAUAGAAGUUGUUGCAGGUUGGAAGUUGGAACGAAGAAGAAGACGAAUAUCAAAAAUAAAUAAAAGGAAGGGUUGCUGCUCUCCAUGUUUGAUUCAUGUUGUAAUCUUAGACACGAAUAAUAAAGCAGUUGGCCUGCAUUUUCAUGCAUUCACAUGGCUGAAUUGCAGUUACACUGCUUCAUGUACUUUAGUGUUCUCCGUGUUAGAGAAAUAGUAUUUGAUAUUUAUACGUGUAGAUUUCAACCUUUUUGCAUUGCCGGGUUGACUUUAUAAUAAAAUAAAUUUCUCAAAUUCUCUUUCCAGUUUUACUUUUAUCUCUUUUUAGUCUUUACUUUCAUUAGGGGCCCAACUAUUCAAUGCCUAAUAUGAACAGGAGAAGUUGGGAGUAUUUUUUGUAUGUCCUUGGGAAAUAUGUUUAACUUUUCAAUAGAUUUUGAGGGUUUGUUUGGAACAUUUUAAAAAAAUCGUUUUUGAGAAUAACUCGAUCUUAAAAACAAUUUUUAAUUAUUUGAAUCGAAUUAAACUUAAAUAUGGAAAAUAAUUUUAUUAAAGUGUUAAAUAUUUACGUACCAUAUAAAAGUUUAUAAAGUAUUAUUUAUAUUUUCAAUUAUUACUUAAAAAUAUUUACAAAGAAAACAAUAAAAAAAAUGAAAAAAAAAACUUAUAAGAACAAAUUCUUCAAAACUUAGGCCCCAUUUGGUCAUAAUUUUUAAAACUUGUUUCUAAAAAUUAUUUUUUAUUUUUUGAUUUAAAAAGAGUUUUUAAAAAAUAUGAUCGAACAAGUUCAUGUUUUCUUUUUGCUUUUAAAAAUUGGUGAAAACAAUUCUUAUUUAUUUUCUAAAAAUUAUUGUAUAUUUCACUUUAUUUUUACAAAUUAUUUUUAGAGAACAAAAAUCAAAAUAGUAUUAGAAAUUUUUAAAAAUAAAAAAUUAUUUUAAAUCACACUGGCAAACCAAGUUCUAUAUUUUUGUAAAAAAAAUAAUAAUAAUAAUUCUUCCAUAUAUCUAAAUUGAAAAUAUUAAUUACAACAACACUUGAAAACUCUUCCCACAAUUUUCAUGAUCUUGAUAAGUUUGGAAGAUGAGGCACAAAUAGAAAAAAUAAAAUAAAAUACUCUAAGCAAUAUUCCAUCCAAUCAUCAUCUAACAUUGGUUACCAAAAUAAUAAUUAAAAAGUAAUAACAAAAACAUAUUGCCAAUAGGAAUAUGACUAGCUAUGUGAAGAAGAAAUUGCAGACAAGCAUUUGAAGAAUUCAUAUGCAAGUCAGGCAGUAGCUGUACGCAUAGUAUUGGACCCUCCUUUCCAGAUGAUGCUAAGCAUCGGUCCUUUUUGGAAACCAAGAGUUUCUAGUAUGAUGUCAUGCACGACUCCUCCAUCUUCAAUUACUAAUCUGUUAUACUAAACCCAUCCGUAUACUCUAAGUUUAAUAUAUUAUACUAUAGUACGUCUGAUCUAGUUAAUGAUUACACAUAUGUAAUAAUAAUGUUGCUGCAGCAGGAGCAGGAGCAGGGUCAUGACUCAUAAAGGAAUACAUACAACAGGAAGGAGACAAAACUGAAGUAACUGACCCAUUUAUUUGAAUUUUAAUACUAUAUUAAAAAAUUUAUAUUUAUAUAUAUAUAUAUAUAUAUAUUAAAUAAUACCCAUUACACCUAAACCAUAUAAUAUAAUAAUUAUAAAAAAAAACAAGCCAGUUAGGUAACUGUUUGACCGAGCGAUAGUAUUAUUAUAACUUUAGACCCAUGCAUGCAUGAAAGCUACGAAGAUAUGAGUGGAUGAGGAGAGUCAAACAAUGGAAAGGAGGUGGGUUUGGUAACGAUGGUGAAGGAAGCAUAAAAUGAGGAGGUGAUCGGAUACAGUGGCUCGACGGUCCACCACCAGACAUGGUCUGGAAUCUCAAUAAAAUGGUGGUGGGGGCCUUGUCUUGAUGACUCAUGAAAGUGAAACCCUAGGGCUCCUAUUCAUUUACAAGAUUUGGUUGAAAAGUCUGAGUGAAGGAAAGCAAGCGUUCAAUGCCGUUCCACCUACUCAGAUACGAAUUCUGUCACCACAUUUAUAAUAUUAUCCUCCUUUCUGCAUCGAGACAAGAACAAGUAGAUAGAGGAACCUUCAUUGGAGUGACAAUUACUUCAUAUGAGAGUGACAAUUCCUUCUAAAAUUAUAGGAAAUGUUUGUUUGUUUGUUUUUAUUUUUUAUUUUUUUAAAAAAAAUAGGCUGUUAAAAAUUAUUUUUUAAAACAAUUUUUAAGAAUAUUUUUUAAAAAAACUUUAUCUGAUCACUGUAAAAUAAAAUUCUAUUAUAUUUUAAAAAUAAUUAUUACAUAUAACACUUUAUUUUUAAUUAUUUCUCAUACUUACUUAAUUAUUUAAAAAAAAUUCAAAAAAUUAAUUAGGAGAUGUUUUUCUAUUCUUUUUUAAAGCAAAAAAUUGUUUUAAAUUUAAAAAAUAAUUAUCAAACAUAUAUACUCUUAUUUUAUAAAGUCAUUCUUCUACCGAUAACCCUUAAUUAAUUAUAUUAAGGAAGAACAAAUAAAUUAAAAUCUUAUUAUUUAUGUCCAAACUUGAACCAGGUCAAUCCAUUUGUUUCUAGAUUGAAGUGGAAAAAUUCAAUCUACUAGAAGUACCGGGUGGAGUUGCUGCCAAGAUUUCAUAGGUCAUUUACAUAUUAAGUCAUGCAUUAAAGGAUUGAAUAGUAAGAACCCUUCAAGUGGGCCUGUCUUUCUCUUGACUGAGUUGGGCAUGGAAAAUAACAAAGCACAAAAAGAGGACAUUAUGGUAGCUAGAAAACUAGGUCUCCGUGCAGAUUGAAUUGGUCUACUUUAAUCUUCACCUAAAAAAGCAGACCAGGAAAAGUAAAAGAGAAGAGAUCAAUGGAAACCCUCCCAGCACGGCUAAAAAUAAAGAGAUGGACCAAAUCAAUCUCACUGACCCACCCUUCAACCCCACUUGCAUUUAAAACUGCCCCAUUUUUCAUAUGUUUUGGCAAAAUUCUCACCUACAACACCACAAAAUUCUUGUUUUUUUCUUUUUUGGCAUUUUCUUGAAGAUUUCUAGGCCUGGAACACGAACUUCAAAAUGGGUUUAAGGACCCUUGUCGUUAAUUUUACGGAACAUACCUUAUCAUAUGGGCCCUUUUUUUCAACAUUAUAGACCUUGCAAGAUUAGGGCUAUAAUAAGGCAUAUUUGUGUCCCAUCAUUUUUUUUUUAAGCUUUUAAAAAUUUUCAAAAUUACUUAAAAAUAAUUCAUGAAAAAUCAUUUAAUAAUCAAUUUUUUUUUUAGAAAAAAAUUGGAAAUUAAAAACAUUGUAAUUAAAUUACUCACAAACGAGCUCUAGUCAUGUGAUGUGUCUAACUUUAUUAUUAUUAUUUUCUUUCUUUUAUUUCUUAACCAUGACUAGUGGGUUUUGAACGUUGAAAAACUGCAAUAAAUAGAGGCACGUGCUCUAACGUGGAACUGAUCUGCAAGUGAAAGGCCUCCAUCCAUGAACAUGGACCGACUCUUGGUAGAUGCGGUGGGUUACAUUUUAUAUCGUUUUCGCGUGGGAAGGUUGUAUGUGAUUCUUCGAACGGUGCUUCUUUAAUUUUCUUUUCAACCUCCACACCUCCCAAUCCAUCUUAAUCGCUUUAUUUCUUUAUAAAAUUUCAAAUCAUCAUCAUGGAAUUUUUUUUUCUUUUUUUCUUUCAAAGAAUUAGAUUGAUGAAGAAUUAGUUUUCAUGUUUGAUUUCAUUAUAAUAAUAAAAAUAAAAUAUAAUUAAAAUUUAUAUAUAUAUAUUCAUAUUAAAAAAUUAAAAUAAACGAAAUAAGCUUAAAUAAAUCUCAUAUAUAUAUAUAAAAAAAUCUAAAAUAAAUUUAAUUUAUUUUAUUGUUAUCCAGACGUUUGAACAGACACAUACUUCCAUGGAUAUGCGAAGACUUGAUCACUUGGAUAUAAAAGAAAAUAUAUAAGAUCCUAAAGUUUUAAUUUUUGCCUCAUGGUGAGGCAAGCUUUGAUAUGCGUGAUGUAGUAAUACCCUUGUGGGAGUUCCCUACAUGCACACUUGUGUUUUAAAACUUAUCAAAUAUUAAAAAAAUUAAUGAAUGGAGAUGCUUUCAUUAAUUUGACUUAUAAGGUCUAUGAUAUAAAUUAUUUAAUUAAUUAAUUAAUUAAUUAUUAGAUUACAAGGAAAACCGAGGAAAAACUUAGAAUUUAGUGUCGGUUGUGAUUAUUUUUUAAGAUAAGUUUUAAUAUUCUCAUAUUUUAUAUUUUAUGUCAAAGUUAUUAACUAUUUUUGCUUUUAAAAAAAUAAAAAUGAAAGAAAAUAUAUUUUUAUUUUUAUAAAUUAUUAUUUUGUUAAGCAUACCCUGAUUGACGUGCAAUAGAAGACUAAUGUAAAUAAUAUCGGUCUAUACAUCUAAAUUCAACAAUACAAUCAUGUACAAAAACUUUACUAUCGUAAUUGUUUAUAUCCACCUAAAACUCCAAUGUUUUAUUUGGUAAUUGUUUUUUAAAACUGUUCUUUAAUGUUUUGUAAAAUAAAAGUUUUUUUAUUUUUAAUUUAUUUUAAAUAUUUUUAAAUAUGUUUUAAAAAUAAUUUUUAUAUUUAAUGUUUUAUUUUUAGGGAGAAUUAUGUUUUGGGGGUAGAUGAGCCCCCAAAUUAAUAAAAGGUUCAUGUAACUCUUCAAAUUGAGUCUAAGACCCAAUGAAAGUAUGGAAAUUGAGUUGAAGGAUAUCAUCCUUCAGUAUUUCCAAAAAUGCCCUUUAUUGAUUUUGAGAAAAAAAUUAAUAUUUUUGAAAAAUACUUUUAUUUAAUUUAAUAUUUUUGAUUUAAUGUAAUAUUUUUUAAAAAUGCUUUUAUGUAAUUUAAUAUUUUUUAAAAUACUUUUAUUUAAUUUAAUUUUUUUAAAAAUAAAUUUAUUUAAUUUAAUUUUUUUUAAAUACUUUAAUUUAAUUUAAUAUUUUUGAAAAAAAAUUAAUUUAAUAUUUUUGAAAAAAAAUUAUUUAAUUUAAUAUUUUUGAAAACUAUUUUUAUUUAAUUUAGUAUUUUUGAAAAAAAAAUUAUUGAAAAAAAAUUAUUUAACUUAAUUUUACAAAAUAUUUUAUAUGUGUUCUUAAAGGGUAUAUUUGUCCAUUACUAUUUCAUAUCCUUCCACUCAAUUUGAAGAGUUAUAUGGAUCUUUUGUUAAUUUGGGGGCCCAUCUACCCCCAAAACAUAAUUCUCCCUUAUUUUUAAUCAUUUUACAUGUUUGUAUAAUUAUUAUUUUUAAAAUAACCAUAAAAAAUGAAAACAACUAAAAAAUAUUAUUUAAAAAUACCUUAUUUUCUAUUCUUAAAAAUAGAAAUCAGAAAAUAAUUUUUAAUUUUUAAACGUGUUUUUUGUUUUUUUUUUUUUAAGAAUAGAAAACUGUUAUAAAAAUUAGUUACCAAUCAAGCCCCAACAUUUCAGAAAAUAAAAAUGAACCUAUUCCUUAGUUAAAUUUAGAUUUCAAAUUUUUUUAAAAGAACCUAAAAAUAAAGAAAAA
rnacentral:lncRNA from 1 species